GGUGAAGAAGAAGUAAGCCAUGUCGGGUCUUCCCCAGGGGCCGUAGACGGUGAAGAAACGGAGUCCGGUGAGGGAGAGGCCGUAAAUGUGGUUGUAGGUGUGGGCGAUUUCCUCGCCGGCCUUCUUGGUGGCGGCGUAGAGGCUGGCGGGCUGGUCGGUGCGGUGGAGCUCGGAGAAAGGGUUUUGGGUGUUGAGGCCGUAGACGGAGCUGGACGAAGCCCAGACAAUGGCGGGUUGGGGGUUGGCGGAUUUGGCAGCCUCGAGAAGGUUGACGAAGCCAGCGAUGUUGGCGGUGACGUAGGAUUGGGGGUUCUGCAUGGCGUAGCGGACGCCGGCCUGUGCGGCCAGGUGGAGGAUGUGGGUGAAGGGGACGAGGUCGAAGAGCUUCUGGAGCAAGGGGGUGUCGUUGAGGUCACCUUCCACGAUGAACACUUGGUGUUUCCAGAGCAUUGCCUGCCGGGCGCGUUAAGGAAAGGGUCGUAGUAGUUGUUGAAGUUGUCAAGCCCCAGGACACCGUCGCCGCGCUUCUUCAGGGCCAGGGAGCAGUGGCUGCCCACGAAGCCCGCAGCCCCAGUGACAAGGACGGUGAGGCCGUUGGGGCGGCGGGGGGAGGCGGAGUGGCGGACCUGCUUCUCCCAGGCGCCGAAGGAGGAGGAGGAGAGGAAGUAGUGGGAGUGGGCGUGGAGGUGGCGGUGGGUGGAGUCGGUGGCGGAGAGGGGAGGGUAGUUGAAGGUGAAGAGGAAGACGAGGAUGAGUGCGACCAAGAGAGUGGCGCGGAAGAGGAGUUUGGAGGAGGCGUUGAGGAGCUUGGUGCUGUUGAGUCUCCGGAUGUAGCUGUUGUAUCGCUCUAGCUUUAUGCUCUUGCUAGUGUCCGGAGGGGAAGAAGAACCCAUAUUCAUAUUCAUUCAAUUAUGAGCUUCUUCCAGCCCUCUCAAAACACUAAUAUAGAGAGAGAUAUUCUCAAUAAUCAUCUCAUGAAUUUCCCCAUGUGCUCUUCACGUGCCAGCUAACCUAUAUGUCAACUCUUUUUGGUCCAUUUCCCUAAAUUAAACCUCCAUGCCAUGCUCUGGUAGCCUAACACCAACACAACUCAACUUUCUCUUUCUUUUUUACUCCCCAUUCUAUUGUUUGUUUUUAGACCACUCUCUUAUGGAGGAUUACCAAUUCCACACAAAUGGAUUCUAUAUUGUAGCUACUAUUUUAACAAAAUUCAAAUCAUCUCAUCAUAUCAUUUCAUUUUUUAUUUAUUUAAACUCAUCCAAAUAGAACUGCAAUUUAUUUUUAUGCUCGUCCUCAUAUGAUUUUGUUCCUAAAAUUCUAUUUAAACUCAGUCAAAAACUUGUCUAACAACAUUCAGUGAUCUAUGAUAAAGUUAUACGUCGAGGAGGAGGACGAGGAUAUUGUACGUCGAUCGAUAAAAUGCUACUAGCUAAUUGACAUGUACGUUAAUUAAUUUAUAGAUUAAUAAGAACUGGGUAUAUAAUUAACUUAGAAGGUAAUUGUCUAAACUGCAAGUAAUUUUACUCAACCCUAACUAUUCAACUAAACCCUAAUGCUAAGGAAUGGAUCAUGCUGACUAGAGUUUUCUUCUGAAUUGACUACUCUAAUUUGUUAAACGCUGUUAGUUGAUAUAUUAUAUAUUUUUAAGGUUCGAAAAAGAGUGGCCAUUAAUUGGGCACCGACAAUGUUAGACUACGUACCGUUUUCAUAUUUGUCAUUAUAGGACUAGUAUUUUAUUAUAUACUGAUCGAGUAGUAUAUGUCAAAAUUUUGUUAGCAUCUUUCAUGUUCAUUUAACAGUUUGCAGUCAUCACGUUAAAUCAAGCUGAUAAUAAAUUGCUGGUUUAUCAUAAUAUUGGCUAUCUAAUCGAUGUUAAUAAGUAUAUAUAGUUGAAAUUUUAGUUAAUUUAUGUUACUAUUAUAUAGUAGUACUACAGUAGUAGUAAUCUUCUGACUCGGAAUUUUAUGUAAAUUAAGGAUCAGAACGGCCUUUGUCGGCUCUUUAAAUAAUCCUUAAUUUCUGAAUGACCCCAAACUUGCACCGAAUCAAAUUUAUACCAAAAAUUUUCUAUCCAUUGCUGCACGCAAAUUUUUGCUUGUACUUGUACAACGCCACCGAAUGGAAGAACUUAAAAAUUUAUAUGAAUCCUUAUCCCACGACUUCCCUUUGAUUCCUCUUUCCGAAAUUCACUCCCUCCAAUAGGCAAUAGCUGGGAAUUGCAAUGGAUUCUGAUUCGAUGCAUCAGGUCGUCAUAAACCAUGUCUAAUAAAUUGGCUAUAUAUGGAGCCCCACUUGUAUUAAAUAUUUUUAUGUGAUUUGAUCAACUUAUACAACAUUUACAUUCUAUUAAAGAUAGAAAAUUACUUAUCGUAAUACGUAUAAUUAAUAAGUGAUGUAAUUAAGUUUACGUAUAAUUAUGUCAGCAAAAAAGUUACGUUUAAUUAAUAUAAUGCAUAUAAUUAUGUACAAUUGUAAUGAUCAUAAUCAUAAUGUUGUAGAAACGGGACAGCUGAUAAUAAGCAGCACAUAUAUUUGGGUCAUUUUAAAAGCAAGCGUUAUACAUUGUUAUCAUUUACAGUUAAAGUCUUUAUUAGAAAUAAUUACAUGAUGGCAGAAGAAAAAUCAAGAAAUUAAGAUUUUAAGAAAAGCUUUUUUUGUUAAAGUAUCGUAGCAUCUCCCGUUGGCCUAGCUAGGUACAUUUUACGCUAUAAGAAUUUAAUUCAUUGUAAUCUAAAAAACCUCACUGUAAAGUGUAAAUCAUAAUUACCAACAAGUUAGAACAGACUACUCAUUCCUCUAUAAAAAAAAAAAAUCCAUUGGUAUUUUAUCGAUCACCACGAAAAGUCUUCGAUAAUUUAAUGAACUUAACUCAUUAUAACCCGAGAGUUGAUACAAUAGAUUUUUACAUACAAAACCUUGAAUAGGUUUUAUUUAUUUUUGUUUCAUGAAUCCUUUGUACCAUUCUCGGGGCGGGAUGGGGCCAAAAAUGUUAAAGUUCCCAAAUUUGGUUGUAUGAGCGAAAGGAAAAGAGAGACGGGGAGAAAAAAAAAAAAUAGCAAAGUGAUAGAUUAUAUGAUAAAAGUAAAGAAUUAACAAAGUGAUGUGGAAUUAAUAUAUAAAACAAAAGUUGGCUGUAUAAAUAACAAUUAAAAAUUUAUUCCCUUUUUAUGAAGUUUUAGACAUGCAUCUUUCGUAAGAAAUUCUGACAGAAAAGAAGAAUUAAAUAAACAUUUAAAUCUUUUACAUCUUAUUUUGAUUUUGGUAUUUUAGAAAAUAUACAGGAUGCCAAUUCAAUAAUAUUCCAACAAUCCUAAAAUAUUAAAUCGUUUAUCUUGAAGUAUAUGUCUUAAAGACUUUUUUUUUUUUUCCAGAACGAGGCCAUAAGUAUUUUUUAACGGAUUCUAUUUUGCUUGAGUUGCCUAAACUCACUGUGAGUAACAUUUUUUUCCAUUAUUUAAUACAACCCCAUAUUUAAGAUUAUUUAAUUAAAGAAAUUUCUUAUUUAGUUAGAAGAAUUAAUCGAUAUGCCAAAUUUUGUGGACUUCUUUUAAAGAAAAAAAAUACUUUGUUUUGAAAGUUGUUGAUUGUAGCUUGAUGGCUUACAAUGACAAUAGUAACAUGUAGAGUAUUAAUGAAUCGAGUUAAAUUGACUUAAAAUUUUAGCUUGACUUGUUAAAUAAAUGAAUGAUUUAAGAUAUAUUGAAUCAUUUAUUUAAAUGAACUUGAUUAAUAAUUUAGGAUUGUCUUGUUUAAAAAACUAAAAUUUGAGUUUGACUUGUUAAGCUCAUUUAAAACUUAAUUAUUUUAAAUUUGUAAAAAAUUCUUAAAUUAUUUUUUUAACUUUUUAAAUGAAUAAUUAUAAGUUUCUAAAAUCAAAUGAAAUUAUUUCAAUCAAAUUAUCGAUAAUUCAACAUACAAAAUCAUUUGAAUCAACUUCAUACCAAUAAUAAUAUCAUUAAAUCUAGAUAUAUUUUAAAAUUAAAAGAAAAACAUAUGUAAUUUUCUUAAAUCUUAAAAGAAAUUUGUGUAGGCUAUAAAAAAAAACAUAUAUAAUUUCUUUAAAUUUUUUUGUGUCUUUAAAUUUUGUUGUGUAAUUUACUCAUUAUAUUUAUAUGCAAGGGAGAUUAGAAGAAAUGAAGAUUUGAGUUGAGUUCAAUGGAAGUUAAUUUCCCAAGCUAAGGAAAAACUUCCACGAUGAGGCAGUAGCAUGAUACUCAAAUAGUACAAACAUUUAUUCUUAUUUCUCUUUUUUUUUUCUUAUCAAAUCGUAUUACUUUAUCAUAUUAUUCCCUCUUAUAUAAGAUUGUGUCUUUCUCUUGUAAAUUGUAAUAUAGACUAGCAUUUGCUAUCCCAAAACAUUAUUCUUAGUUAUUUUUUUGUUGGUGACUAGGACACGUGACAAACAUGGCUCAUAUUAGCAAACUAAUUAAAAUAAUAUUAAAUUGUUAAUAAUUUAGUAGAUUAUAUGGCAUAUUCAGAACAAUGUUAACGAUUAUUUAAAUAUUUGGGAUUCUUGAUGUAGGUUUUCAUAAGUCAAGUGUCGACAUUUAACAAACUUCUUUUGAUAAUAAAGAAUAAAAGUAUUUUAAAAAACUGAGGCAUAAAAUUAAGAAAAAAAUUAAACAAGGAUUAAAACUAAAAUAUUUAUAAUAUUUAAAAUAUAUUAAUUUAAUUAAAAUAAAUAUAUUAUUAAUUUUAUUUAAAAAAAUAUGAAAAACUAAUCAGAACAAAAACAAAAAAAUAAAAAUACAUUAAUAGUAUAAAUAUUUUUAUAAUUUUAUAUAAUUAUAAAUUGUUAUGUACAGUAAAAUUAUUGUUUUCUUAAUAACUAUUUUAAAAAAAAACAUAUUUGAAAUAACUUGUGAUUAAUUGCAACAUAAGAAUUCUUACACUGAAAAAUGAAAACCAAACACAAAAUAAAAGUCUUUGAAAAAAUAUAUUUUUUACUAUGUGAAGUAAUUAAUCAGAUUUUUUUUUUAUUGUAUAUAUAAAAUGGGCACCAUAUUUACACUAAAAAUGUUAUAAAUUACGUUCCAUGGUUAAAAUAAAUAAAAAAUGAUUUAUUUGUAAAUAAUUCUUAAUAAAAAAAUUAAGAAAAUAUUUUAUAAAAAUGUUCUUAUAUAACAUUUAUCCCAUGCUUAAACAUAUUUGUCAAUAUUUUUUUCAUUAAUAAUGUUAUAUAGAUAGAUAUAGAAUAUGAUAUAACACAUCUAAGCACACAUAUUUUUCAUAUCUGUUUAAUUGUUUAAUUUUCUAUUUUUUUGUGUGUAAAAUGUAUAUGCAUAUUUUAAGAUUGAUAUAAAAUUAAUUGUUAGAAUCAAAUAUUAUUAGAUAAAUUUUAAAUUUAUUUGUUUGUUUUUUAAGAAAAUUGAAAAGUAUGUCUAAGUAAUUUAUAAUAAUUACAUAAGUUUUUUUAAAAAAUAUUUUAAUUAUUUUAGAAAAUAAAAAUAAUAUAUUAUGUUUUUUUAAAAUUAUAUCAUGAAAUUAUCCUCACAAAAAAAAAUAUAUAUAUAUAUAUAUAUCAUUGAAAUUAUUUUUUAAAAAUACUACCUUUGGUUCUUCAUAUUUCAUGAUUACAAGGAUUAACAUGACAUCAGCACCACUAACACCCCAUGUGAUCAAAUUGUGUGCAUCAUAUUACUAGUAUCCAUAGCAAUAAUAUCACUGUCCAUUAGCUACUAAAAAGAUCCAAUCACUGGUCUAUUCAAUAAUAAAAGAUCCAAUUUCUCAACUCUUCCACAUUUCGUGGUUUAUAUAUUUUCUCCCCAAUCCAAAUAUAUAUAUAAAAUCAGCGUGCAAUAUUAUAUUGUAAAAAGGAUUAUGGUAUCUCAUUUUUUAAAAAAAGAUUAAUCAUAUUUAAUUAUCUCUUAAUAUGGUUAAUCUAUAACUAGUCUUUUUAGUUUUAAUUUCGUCAUUAUAAUCCUGUUAUUUUCAAAAGAUUGAGUACUUAUUACACAUUCAAAAAUGUUAUUUUUUAUCCAUAACAAAUAAUUUAUAAUAGUUCAACGUACUAUACUCAAUGAAUUAAACUAUAUUCCAUUAACAUUCAAAAAUAUUAUUUCUAACAUGUUAUCUUGGAUUGGUAAAAAAUUAUUGAAAUAUAAAAUUAUAAAUAAAAUUCCUUUAUUUAAUAAGAAGUGAGUCUCACAGAAUUUUAUGAUUUUGGACUAUGUUUUGAAUUGUAAUAAAAAAUGAAUGAAGAGGGAUGAGAAAGAAGGGAAAAUUAUUCCAUUAUUUGGUUUUUUUUUAUAAGUAUUGAUAUUAUUGAAGUUAAGCACAAGUUGUGUCCAACUCAAGAAAUUCAUUAUUUGGUAUGAAAAAUAGGAAUGAGACAUCCAAAGAAGAAUUAUCAUGAUUUAUUCUUAAAAAAAUGACUAUUUUAUCUUUAAUUUUUUUUAUCCUAAUCAUAAAUCUCUUAAGGAUAAUAUGGAAAUUAAAAACUUACAAUUCAUUCUAUUUUGCUCCCUUUUUCAAUAGAAUGAAAUAUUUACACAUCCCAUUAUUCAAUAGAAUGAAAUAUUCUAUUAUAAAAUAUUUAAAAUAGAAAAUGGUAUUUUUUUUCAUUUACAUUCUCCACAUCAAUCCAAAUAUAAUCAAAAUAAAUUUCAGUGAAUAAUAAAAAGUGUAUUAAAAAAUGUGUUAAAAAUGUAUAAUUAGUAUUUAUCCUUUAAAAUUAAAUAAAUUUGGUUCUGCUUUUAAGUAAACAUCUAAAAUUUAAAGAACAUGAUAUACCUACUUAACGAAGAUGACGUGGUGUUGUCCCAGGUAGUUUUUAAUUAGUGACAUUGUAAACAUCUUAUUAAUUUCAAAAUUAACCCUUCAAACAAUCCAAUUAUAUACCCCCAUGCCUCCAUUUGAUGCAUCUAGAUCCUUCAUCUACCAUUAACGCUUAUAGUCACCUAAACAACAGCACCUGAAAUAAAUCCAUAAGACAGGAAAACAAAGUGUAUAGUUAACUAUUGUGCAUUAUCAUUAGAACAUGUUUAAUGUCAUGACUCACUUUUAUAAAUUUUCUUCUCAAAUUUGUUCUCGUGUGAAAUUUAUCUAGAAAAAAAAAAAGCUAUCACUUUGGAAAGCAUUUUUGCCUAAAUCCUUCUUAAGAAAAGAGUUAACCAUUAUUGAACAUUUCUCUUUUGACGACAAAUAAAUAAAUCAGUCGUGUUAAGUUAUUUUAAUAUAAUAAUAAUAAAUAAAAAAAACUCACAAACAGAGACCAAUUUGUUAAUUUACAGCCACUGUUUUUGUGGUGGCUAAAUUUUGUGACAUUAUUUUGGAAUUGGAUUCAAUAUAUGACUUUCUCACGUGAAAGAACUUUUCCAAUUUUAAGACCAUUCGAAUAUUCUUAUGGUACAUAUACUGUCACUUGUUUAAAAAAAUAUAUUUAAUGUAAUUAUUAAUUUUUUUAUUCUUUAAACCCAUAAAAAUACUAUUGAUUCCAUAAAUUAACUAAUACAUAAUUAUUUUAGUUUAACCAAUGAUUUCGAGUGUUGUUCAAAUUAUAAAAAAAACUCUAGCAAUAUAAUUCAUCGGAAUUUUUUUUUUAGCAGUUUAAGAAUUGUCACAAUUUUUUUUAUAAUUUUUUGAAUACACAUUAUCAACAUCUUUUAUCGAAGACAAUUAUGAUUGAGUUAGAUAAGAUUAUCAUAAAUGGUAAAAUUAUUUCUAGAAACUAUUGAUUAAAAUGAAAUAAAUCUCUAACAGUUAAUCUACAUGUUUAAUAAUAUUUUUUAUGGUUUUAAAGUAUAAAAAAUUAUAAAAACUAAACUAUUAAAUUAAAAAUAUCUUUGAAAACAAGUGGUAAAAUCUAGACAAUUAGAUUAAUCCAAUGAUCUAAAAUGAAUAAAAGUCUCAAUGACUUUCUCUCCAUAAAGUCACCAAAUCCAAAUCACAUUAUUUUGUAAUUUCACACAAUUUGAUUGCUAUUUCAACCACUAGAGAUUCUGCAAAAUUCCAAUUACUAAAAUCAGCUAUUUUUUAGUAGUGCAUAGAGAAAGGAAAAUGUUCCCCAUAAAUAGUAUGUUAAAUACUAUGCAUCUAAAUGACUUUCAAUUAGAAAAAUCAUAAUCCUUAUUUCAAAAUCUUAAUUAAAAACAAUUGAUUUUAGUACAUUGCCAUUUUUUUUUUGGUUGGUGAUGAUAAUAUCUCUCAAACCAUUGAAUUAAAUAUUAAUGUUACUUGUAAUGUGCAAUGUAUGAUUGUCAUUAAUUCGAAAAAAAAUUACACAUGAAAAAAAAUCAAAUACAAAUUUUUUCACUAAAUAAAUUAUUCCUUCACAUACAAAACAACAAAAUUUUACACUAGUGUGUCAAUCUUAUGGAUUAGUAACAUAUCAUUUGAAUCAACAUAAAGAACUUUUGUUGUUGUCUUUAAUUUUUAGUCACAACUUCCAUUAAUUUAGGGCAAUAUAGUAGAGUAGAGACUGAGGUAGUUUGUUGCAAAACAAGUAGCAUGUUAAAUGCAACUAUAUUCAAGUUAAAUAAAUUAGAUCGUGCUGCAUCUAAAUGACUUUCAAAUUGAAAAAUUACCCAAAAAAAAUCAAAAUUUUCUCUUUAAUUCAAGUGACUAGUCUUUUGAACCAACACCAUUAUAAUUUAAUUAUAAGAACUUUUUAUGCCCUAUUUUUAUAUUUACUUAACAUUUUCCUUUUAAAUUUUUUAUUGCCAUAACUUCAUAGUUCUGAUAGUUUUUACGACAAUACAACAUGGAAUUAUAGAAAGGAGGCAACUUAUUCCCCGCCAAGAAGCAUGUUAAAUACAACUCUAUUCAAAUUAAUCAAUAAAAAUUAGAUUGUGCUGCACCUAAACGAUUUUUAAAUAAAAAAUCACGAUGUAUUUGAAAGAAAAUCUUAAAAACAGUUUUCUCUCUUAUUUUAGUUGCUUACCAACCUCGUUUGAUGAACUCCGAGCAAAAAAGAUUGGAUUUGGAUGAGAAUUAUUAACGUACAAAAGUGGAAGAGGAGUGGGGGCCUUAUUGAUUGAUGGACCCAACACAAGAAAGAAAGGAAAGGCACGCGAAGGUUCAUAAGUCAUGGCCAAUGGAUUCCUUUCAAAUGGAGCAUUGUGGCUAGGUACGUCACUUCUGUGAUCUGUCCUUUCUUUAUUCCUUGAGAAGUAUACUCUCUAUCACAUGGGAAUUAAUUACCAGUACAUAUUAAUUGCGUUAAUUUGAUCUUCUGCAAAAUGUUUGGGCUUAUGAUGGAAAAUAUAUUUAGUUUUCUUCGAUCGAACAAGAUCAUAAAACUUUAUUUAUUACGAAACACAUGUUCAUGUAUGGAAAAAAAGGAAAACAGCUAGGUGGAAAGAAUUAGGAAGAAACAUUACGUUUUUCAUUGUUUAGAUGUGGAGGGAAAAAAAGUGAGACCAAAAAAAUUGUCUACAGUGGAGAGAAAACAACUAAUUUUUUGUUGAAAUAAUAAAUUUAUUCAUCAAUCCAUCUUAAAUUUUUUGGGUGAAACCCUUUCUCCAAACUUUAUAUCUUAAUUAAUUUGAAUCGAGUCGCAUCAAUUCAAUUUAUUUAAGGAGAUAAAAUCUUUUUCAAUGUCUAUUUUAUUUGUACAUAAGAAUCAAAACUGGAGGAAUGUCUAUUCUAGCGGGUCAUAUCAGAGCUGAGAAACUUACCAAGUUUAUAUUAUACAGUGAAUGGUUAAUUUAUUCUACCUGGUGGGUGGGAGACAAUAUAUCCAAUUUGAUGCAAUCGGUUGGGGCUAGCAAAAAAUAUUUCAUAUGAAUAAACACCUUUCAUAUUAGUUUAGUCCUUUUUGUGCUUCUUUUUAUUUUGUCAAGUCAUCACCUAUCUCGAGACUGCAUGGUCCUGCAUGUUCAAUUCUUAUUCUACCAGUAGAUUGAGCAUGGAAACUUCCCCAAGAAUUAUGUGGGAUAAUUAUAAUUUUCUUAAGCUAUGCAUUAAAUAAACUCUGUAGUUUACUUAUUUGCUUGUAAGGAAUAAGGUUGCUCACACUGAUACCACAACAAAGUCUUAUCUUAUCCCAUUUAGCUAGGAUUGCUCACACUGAUAGUAACUAUAAGUGUUUUAAAACUUUAGAUACUUUCUACGAUUCUUGAUACCGGUUGUUACAAGCAAUAUUGGAAUUUUAUUUUUAAAGAAAAAUAGAAUUUUGUUAUUGAACUGGACAAAAUGUUUCAUUGAUUGAAACAGAAUUAUAGAAAAGUUAAUUACAGCAUAAAGUGAUUAGCUAUUUAUAGAUGCACCGUGAUAACUGAAAUCUAACAAAUUAUAACUAAUUACACACAAUCCUAACAACACAAAAUCCUAAUUAAAAAAUCUCUUAAGUUAGCCUUGAGUCACACUGCUAUUUGCUCUCAUUCUUACUUCUUUAACUAAUAUUUGAUGACUUAGAUUAGUUAGUUUCAUGUAGGCUUUUUUUUUUGUUUUUUUUAUAAUUUUAGUUUAAAAUCUAUAAAUAUGAAUUUGUGGAAUUUUUAAAUAUUUGUUUAAUGUAGUGUUUUUAUUUUUAUUUUUUCAGCAUCUCUUUGUGUAUAUAUGCUAUAAGAAAUAAUAUAAUCCAUCCUGUCAAAAAUAAGGUACUUGGUCCUUUAAAUUUUUCUGAAAAAUCAUUAUUUAAUUUAGGAUUUUGUCAUAGAAAUUAUAAUAACUCUAUAUAAAAAAUUAUAAUAAGUUAUAUUUUGUAUGAAAUUGUCUUCAUAAUUUUUAUUUUGUUACACUCUUGUAAUUAAUAUUAAAAUUUAUUUAUAAAAUUAAUAUUUAAAUGAUAGAUUAAAUAUAAAUAAUUUGUGAACCUCUUAUUUUGAUUUAAUCUAUCAUUUAAAUAUUUAUUUAAUAAAUAAAUUUUACGAUUAAUAUUAAUUACAAUGCUAACAUAAAUUAUUUUUAAUUAUUUUUAUUUUUUUCUAAUGGGAUAUCAUUCAUGAAAAAUAUCAAUAAUUAAAAAUAAUAUUUAAUUCAAAGACGGUGCUUAUAUCAACACCGUCUUAAAAUCCUUACCUUCAAAGAUGAUGUUCACGACGUCGGCUUUUAUGACGGUUAGCGAUCGUUUUAGAAAAGUCUUUUUUCUAAUAGUGAAUAAGUCAAGUUUCUUAUUACUUUGAGCUAUUAGUAUUAUAUUAAAAGAAUAAAAAAAGUAUUUAUCAUAAUUAUAUUUUGUUUUCUCUUUCUUUUUCACAAUCAGAUCAGAAGAAAGAGGAUUGAUUAUUUUUUUUUGUCAUUUUUAUCCAAAUUAAUAAAUGAAAUAAUACAAGCAAAAAUGAUCAUAUUUCCUUUUUUUUUCUAUAUCUUAUUUCUUUCAUUUUUCAAUUCCCUAAUUUUUUUAUUCACACCCGAACAAAAUGAUAGGGUGCAUUUAGAAUAGUUUGUUUUAUAUUUUAAAAAAAUAUAACUAAGAUAUCAUUAAAACUAUUAAAAAAUAUUAUCCUAAUUAAAAUAGACAGAAUCCAAACAAGAUUAGGCUUUAAUUUCCGUGAGUUGCAACUAUAUAUUUGCAAACAAGUAAAAUAACGCAAUAUCACCUUGCUGUACGUCUUAAGAUAAAAAUGACUUAAAAUUUAUUUAAGUUACACUAUAUUCUUCUCAUUGCUAUGGGAUAAAUUUCCAACCAGCAGGCUUCUAUAAAGUGUAGAAUAUGUUAUUUCAUUAAUUAAUCAACGCGUUUCUUUCAAUCUCUCCCUCUCCUCUCCUCCAUCUCAAGAAAUAAGACAUGCAAUUAAUGUGAAAGUAGCAUCCAGUAAAAAAUAAUCAUUUCCAUCUGUUAAUUAAUAUAUAGAAUGAGACAUGUGCAUGCAAUGGGCUAUGAAAGAAAAAGAGUAUGUUUAUUAAUGUUUUUAAGCAAAGUUGAACUUGCGGUGGUUAAUUUCAGUCACCACAAAGUAAAGUGAGAAAUGGCACGGACAUUGAUCAAUUAAUUAAUAGAGUCGAGGAGGACUAGAUAGGUUAACUUCUUGACUUUUUUUAAGUGAGAAAUACAUAUUAAUUUAAUGCAUUAUAAUAUAUAUAUAUAUAUAUAUAUAUAUAUAUAUAUAUAUAUAUAUAUAUAUAUAUAUAUAUAUAUAUAUAUAUAUAUAUAUAUAUAUAUGUGUGUAGAAAUGCUAUUCGCGGUGCUUUUAUGAAAAGCCAAGAUUGAAGAAGAUGCUAGCUCAUUGGUCGGUGGAGCCGUGUGUCUUGACUUUAUUAACCAUUAGAUAAGACAGAAGAAGACAUGAUUCUCCUCACUGCUUCCCCUCAAUAGUUAUGAUCCACACACACAACUAGAAUUCCAUAUAACAUGCAUUUUUAUUUAUUAAUUUAUCAUAUAUAAUUUUGGCCCUUGGGCAUCCUAUGGGGUUUCAUUAGUCCCAACGAGGUUCCAUACGCUUUGCCCUCUCCAUAUGAUUAGAGCAUGCAUGCAUGUUCAAUUUUCUGGUACAGACAAUUUUUUUCAGGGUAAAACUACAUAAUUCGACACGUUAGAUGUUUUGCUUUUGGAUUAGGAUUAACUUUAACAACGUUCACUGGGACAUUUCUGCCGUAACGUAUGUUUGGACAAAAUGAGUUCUCUUUAGUCAGAAAAAAAGAAAAAGAAAAUAUCUCAACUUAGCUACAGCGCAUAAUUAAUAAAAUUUGUUCAGUUUGGUUAAAAAAAGAAAGUGACAAAUAUUAUUGUUUCGAAUGAAUUAAUGGAUGACUUCUGAGCUUGAAAAGUGUUUCAUUAAUUGCAAUGAAAAGAAAUGAUCCAGACAUUAUCGUUUGUGCUCUUGGGCAGGAAUCUGAAUUGAAGAAAAAGAAGAGUACAAAAGCGACUAUAUUUGUUGUAAAUUAAAAUAAUUUAUAUAUAUAAUAUCCAAGUAAAUACGUGCAAAAAAAGUUGAAAAUGUAAUCGUAGCUGCCUUUUGAUCUGUUAAUCGUGUAUUUUAAUGUUAUUCUUUAUAUAGCUGGCGUGAUUAUAUUCCCGUUGAUAUCUCUUUUGCUUGCAUGAUUGGGGAGAUUCGUGUUUGAUAAUUGGUUCUUUUUACUUUUUGGUCAAUAAUAAUAUUGAAAAUCACGUAACUAGCAUGAUAUGAGAGAGCCAAUUGCCACCGUCUUAAGAAACUAUCGAUCGAAUUGUCGUUUUCCAUGUUGUUAAUCCAUCCUACUUUGCACUCCUGACAACAACUAUGCCUCUAUAUAUCGAUAACUUUCUACUGUCGGCACCAUAACUGACAUUCAUUCUCUCUCUCUAUAUUAAUUAUUAUAAGAUAUUGAAAUAUCUGCUUAUGUAAUGAGUCUCUUUUUACAUUGCUUGCCCACGUAAAACCCUUUAAAAAUCGAUGCAUAUAUAUAUAUGCUUGUUAGCUGUAAUUAUUAACAGGUACCUCUCAAUCUGAAAGCAGGCUAGCUAGGGUUGUUGUUAAUUAACACCACCUGUUACAGUAACGGGAGCUCUUGAAAUUGAUCAAUGAGGUUCACUCACCAAUGGGGGUGCUGGGGACAAUUGGGGCCAUCACCUUCAAUUAUCAAUGAAAGUUAACAUUGGAAUGAGAAGGGAGCAAAUUGAAGAUCAUAAAGUCGUACGUAAAAUAUAUCAACCGCAAAGUUUACAAUUGAAGCUUGCAGGUUAUAUAUAUAGGCUAGAAACAAUUAAUAUUUUAUCGAGGAAAAUAUUUCUUUGCCUGUGUUCAACCAGCAGAAUCUGUGUAAUUUUAUUUAAUUGGAAUAUUCGGACAAUGUAAUUUUAUUCUACAAUAUAAUUCAAUCACACAUUAAUAUAUCUGAAGUUUAUUAACUUUUAUAAUAAUUAUUUUUAAAAUAAUAAUGUAAAUAAUUUAUGAUUAAUUAAUUAUGUGAAAAACAUUAUAACACCAAUGCAUAAAAAUUAAACCCGUAGUUAAUUUCACCAAAAUAGAAAUAUUUGUUAAAAACUAUUUUAUUAACUUUUAACAUUUUUUUAAAAAUGGCACUUCAUAUAAUUUCUUUUUAAGAUCAUAUGUAUGUUUUUAUGGCAAGAAAUAAUACUCAUAAGAUUAUUAUUAGCAAAACACUCCCUCUAAUUAUUUAAAUUCUUUUAUGUAAAAUUCAUUUCGUUUAAUAGAAAUAUUUAAAAAUAAAAAUAACAUUAUAAAAUAGUUUUUUUUAACAUGAUGAUAAAUUACUUAAAAUAAAUUAAAAUAUAAACAAGUUAUUAAAAUGCAAAUAUAAUUAUCAAAUUUCAGGUUAUGACCACAGAUAUAUCCUUUUAUAUAAUUUCAUACUUAUCAACUAAUUCAGCAAUUAAUUUUGAAAUAGCAUUUGUGGAUACCUAUAUGUUCAUCAACACCUAGAGAACAAGAAAUAAGAGAAAAAUAGUAGAUAUAAUAAAUGAUAUAAUAUAAUAACAGAACAAAGAUUAAGAAAUGUCAUAUAUAUAUAUAUAUAUAUAUAUAUAUAUAUAUGAGGAUUUUACAAAAAUUACACCCAUUCUUAACCGUUGAUUUCAUUCUAAUUUAAGGCCAAUCCCCAUUCUAAUUUUAAUCAAAGCUCUCCAGUAGAACUUCCCUGUAAUUCCAAUUUUGCUUUGCAACCUCGUUACCCACUCAUUGCCUUUCCCAAUAUCUCUCUAAUAUAGCAGAAUUUUACACAGGAUGUACACAGGCUUAUGAUAAACGCUUUGCUUCAUCCAACUCAGACUAAAAUCCAUUUAAUGCACCAUAAGCUUAACAAAGCCUAACUCCCAAGAUUUAUAACUAAAAAUCUGAAACUGGAUACAUUCAAAUCAGAUCUUGCACCCUCUUCUCAAUUUUAUGGUCGGAACGAGAGAAAUUGUAUGGUUGGGAUCUUUGCAGGCGGAAUGAAUGGCUGGAACGAUAAAAAUUGGCAAACAAAGAGGUGUGCAAAAGAGGCCUGAGAUUAAAGGAAAACUGGAAAAGGGAGAACUGGUCAACAAGUCUGCAACGUGCACAAAAUUGAAAUUAGAGGAAGAGUGAUGAUUAAAAUUAGAAUUGGGGGGUCAAGUGAGAGAGAGUUUAAUAAUUUUAUUAUUAGCGUUAGAUUAGAACGAUAUCUACGGUUAAAGAUAAAUGUAACUUUUGGAGAUAUAUUCAUGUAUCAUUACUCUUAAAUUUUUCAAACACUUUUAAUUGAAUUAACUUGUUAACUUUCAAGUUUCAACUAGUUUAUUCCAAAAAAUUUAUUUUAUACACCUCAAAUUCUACGCCCAAUAGACAUCAUGUCCAUCGUUUUUUAAUCACAUCAGCCAUUUUAUCUAUUCCUUUCUAUUUUCUUAUCAUACUCCCAAAAGGGGAUUUUCACUCUCCUAUGGGUGUCCAAGCAGCAAAAAUAAAAUGUUACAACAGAUUUUUUAUUUUUACAGAUUACAACAGAUAAUUAGUACAUGACAAAUGAUUAAUAUUUAAAUAGAAAUGAAAUUCAAUACACACUAAAGAUGUAGUCAUUCUUGCGGUACAGCAUCAACUUGGCCACUUCUGUCAGUGACUUUCUGGGCGUCCGGGAGAUCUUUAAUCGCCUGCAAAAGAAUGAACCAAUUCCUUGAAUCAAGUGUCAAUAAAAUGGAAGAGACGACUGAGGACGUUAAUAGUUUGAAAUCAAGAUAAGGCUAACAAUUAUCGUAUGGUGUGGGUAUUUACUAUUUAGUCAAAUACGAAAAGAAAAUAAGAGGUAAAAUUUUAAAAUCAAAUUAUGCACCUUAAUAUUCGAAGCUUUUAAAAAAUUGAGGUAUAUAAGUUGAUUUUAUAUUAUGAGAAAACUUUAACUUAUUUUAUCUUCUAAUAGUUGUUGAAAAGUUUGUCUACACUAAGAUUUAGUAUUUACCUGAUAAAGACACCAAGAAGCAAAAGCAUCUGUUGCAGCAUACUCUAGUUGCUCCUUUGACAAAACAGGAGCCUCCCAAUUUCCCAGUCUUAUUUUGUUGGGCUUUUUAAGCUGCAAGCAUAACAAACUUGGUAAAUAUCCUACCAAGAUAGUUCUUCACCUUUUUUUAAGAAGGCGGUUGAAACAUCUCCCUGUCCCCUUCACAUUUUCCCCUUCUCUCCAGGGACAAGAAAUAAAAAAGGUUAUGAAAAGACGUUGAUGAUCAAGUAGUCAUAGAAAAUUACAUACCGAUUAUUUCUACGUUGUGUUUGUAGGAAUACAGAUGAUCUAGUGAGGAUAAAAUGAACGACAGGAAAAAAACAGUUUAUUACUUAUGGCAUCUACUUUUGUCAUUUUCUAUUUCCUACAUUUAAAUAACUUCUGUUGGUUUAACAGGACCUUUCUCUUUCUCCCUUCGAACAUCUUACAACAGUACAACUAACUCCUAUUGAAAAGGAAAAUAAUUAAUGGUUUAUUCAGAGUUGAUUUUUGGCAUAAGUGCAUAAUGCACGUGGUGAAUUUUCCAUUAUUGUUUUCUUGAAAAAAAAUUCUUAUUCAACUACUACUAGUCAGUAAUUAAAGCUAUUUAUGGAAAAAAAUACAACAUUUGUAAUUGGAUACUAAUUUAGGAAUGCAACAAAAAAUGUGUAUGUGAAAUCGAAUAAUGCAUUGAUUUAGUGAGAGCAGAGGACGAGCCAUUUUCCUUUAGGCAAAUUCAACACCCAACAAAGAUCCAUUUUUCAGAAUCUACCAUAUGAAAAUUUGAGAAAGGGUGAGGUGGUGAGCAGGUCUGGCUCAUUCAACUGGCAACAGUUUUCCAGUUAACCAGCCAGUUGGAAAGGCACCAGACUUUUUGAUGUGCCAUGCCAUCAGGUGUCAGAUGAAGAAGGCUGGAACAGUUGAAUCACGGUGUCCAUGUCUGGUCUGGGUUAUAAGACAGUUGGAUUCAAAACAUACCUGUUUUGAUAGAAGUUUUUCAGUCAAAGAUGCAAGACCCCACUUAUGAUCUCCACCAAGCUUUUGAUUAGCAUGAAAAGAAAGAUCCGUCACACCUUUAACAGAUAUGUUAUAAUCUCUAAAAACCUUCACAGCAUCACCAUCAAUCCCAGCUCCAACCUUGUGCACAUCAAACGUUGUAUUAACACUUAAGAUAAUUGAUUAGUUCACAUAGACACAAAAGAAAAAACAAGAAAAAAAAAUCAGCUUAACAGAAAUAAAAACCUUCAAGACUGUGGGAUCUUCAAGCAAAAGCUGUAAAUUUUGAGGGAUUCCAGAAUGAAUUAGAUGUAGAACAUGACAAUGUCUAGUGUCACCACAUAUCUGCAUCACUGCUACCUUUCCGGGAGGAACACCUAUAAAAGUUUUAUACAAUAAUGAUUCAGUAAUAUAAAUUAUGACAAUCUUUCUUUUUCUUAAGAAUUAGUGUUUUAUAGGGGCAAAAGGGAAGGCUCUUUUGCUGCAGAAAAGUAGGAAAUUGAUCUCUCACCAUAGGUGAACAAAGCAUUUACAGAAAAUCCAUAAACUAUGAAGAGUAAAGAGCCAAACAAUUAGCUGGAAUUAGAACUUUAAUCCCCCGGCCUCAAAUACUCAAAACCAUGUCUUUACCUUCAUCCACAUUGUAAUUUGCAACACAAAAUAGAGAGGCUCUGCGUCCCAGGAAUUUUGAAAUUCUUCAUCAAGACAGUCCACCUGAUUCUAGACUUGAAGCAUUCUAUUCUAUAUAAAAACUUCGUACCCCAUGCCCAGAGGCUCUUCGCUAUGCGAAGGUAUGGGGGAGGGAUAUUGUACGCAGCCUUACCCUUGCAUAUGCAAAGAGGCUGUUUCCGGAUUCGAACCCAUGACCAACGAGUCACCAAGACACAACUUUACCGCUGUACCAGGGCUCGCCUGGCAUAAUUUCUUGCUUACGUAACCAAUAUCGGAAAGAAAAUACUCAACAAUAUAAAGAGUGUGUUUGGUUUGUAUUUUCAUUUUCUGUUUUCAUUUUUUGAAAACUGUUUUCAUUUUCAAAAAAUUAGAAUUCUGAAAACAUGUUUGAUUUAACUUCUUGUUUUCUGUUUUCAAGAAAUAAAAACACUGAAAAUGCAUUUUCAAAAGGAAAUGUAUUUUUAAAUUUGCUUAAAAUUACAUUCCUUGCCAUUGCGUUUUCAUUUGAUCGAAAAUGAGGUUCCUGGUUUCAACUGAAAAUAAGAUAUUAUUGUUUUCAAUUUUUUAUUUGUUUGGAAAAAUAUUUUCACUGGAAAUAAAAACAAAAAUUCAACCAAAUGCAUUUUCAUCACCAUUUUCUAUUUCUAGUGAAAAUAAAAACAGAAAACAAACCAAACCAAUCAGCCCUGAUCACUUUCUCUUCCAUCUCAUUUCCACCCCCAUUUUCUUCCUACCUCUCUCCUCCUUUUCCAUUUCAUCACUAAUCACAUCUAUCACUUUAUCUUCCUACCUUUUCUUCUUCUUAUCUUUCUCCUUUCCACCCCAAUUUGCCUCAAAAUGGGGUGGGCAUUUAUCAUUACUCUAUCAAAUACGUAUCAAUAUUGUUACCGUAUAACCUAAAUGCAGAAAUUGUAAUAGGCCAAACACUAUCAGGUAAGUGGUAUGCCAUAAUCAGCUAUUGAAAAAGAAGGAGAAGAAGCUGAACUGACCUUUUCUGAAGGUGGGUUUCCACUCAAUGUCAAAUCCAAUUGCAGUUUGCAUCAUGUCGGUCGUUUUUUCUUGGAGAAUUUGUAAGAGCUUUGUUGCAGCUUUCUCUACAGCAUCAAAAGUCCUGCUAUAAGAAAUUUGACCACUAAACUUCAUUACAGGCAAUGUCAUUCUUGAAUCGCCUGUGCAAGAUGAAAAAUGAAAAAUUAGAGGAAAUGUAUAGUGAAUAGCAGAAUUGAGUGAUUAUUAGUGCAUUGGAAAGGGUAAAAUAGAAUGGGGGUGAGGAAAAAGAAGAGAACAUGGACGGGGAUGGGGCGAGAAAGAAGAAGCGUUUGGGUGUUGAAGAGCGAUAAGCGAUUUGGGCAAGCGACGACGAGGAGUGUGAGUGUGAUCGUUGAAUGGACGUUUUUUGUUAUUGGAAAGAGAGGCUUCGAUGGCUUCCAGAUCAUCCUCCGUCAAAGGCUCGCAAUCGCAGACGAAUGAGGCAAGUCGCGUAAAACCACCCUCCUCCUCCUUCUCCAUCUUCGGAAUGGAGGGAAAUAAAGGAAAGGACCCACUUUUUUAUAUAAUUGUUGAGGUGGAAAAGCAAGCCUGGCUAGUCCAUUUUGGCCUAUCUCCCUACUUGAUUUGAACCUAAAUUUUUCUUAGUACCAAAGGAAUUGAGUUUAUAAAAUAAGCUAACAAUAAUAAUAUAUAUGUAUUUAUAUUUUUGGAAAACAAUAAAAACUUUUAAAAUAUACAUAGUAGCAAACUUAAGCUUAAACACCUAAUAGCAUUCACAUAAAUUUUUUAAAAAAAUCAUAGUGGCCCGCACAAAAGCAAACCCAUCCCACCUUUCCAAGUUGAACUACCUAACUUGUCCCAUCAUUUUUGAGUUAGCCCAUCAAACUAAACCAAUUAUGUCAUUCCUAGACAUGGACAUAUACCUUAACCUACACCAAAUUCAGACCAAGCUUUUAGAAAUUAAACCAUGUCAAUAUUUCUAUAAGAAAUUACUUAAUUAAAAAAAGACUAGAUUUAAUACAAAUAAUAACUUUCUAGUAUUAUUAUGGGUGUCAUCCUAAAAGUCUCCAUUACCAUAUUCACCUCCUCAUUUCCUAAGUUGAAGUCCUUCGCCUUUUGUCCAUAACUAACUACCUUUAGCUUGUGAUGAGUGACAUUGUGCAUGUUUGAUUCUCUAUCUAACAUGCUUCUGCACGAAUUCCAAAACAAAUAUGACUGUUCAACGCACAAAGGAAUGGUAUGGAUGCUUUUGCCAAUGUCCAUUUGCAUCAACAAGUGGUUACACAAACAUAGUCAUUGAUGAUUGCACUGGUUGAGGAACAAGAGUGAGAGUUGCCUUGGGAAAGGUGAAGGGUGUUUUCGGAAAGAAAAAAAACAAAAAAGGCAGAAGGUGGUAGUCCUAGCAAUUUGAGAGGUGUGUUUGUGUUUGGUGAAGAGGCCCAUCUGAGCCCAAAAGUGAUAAAUUGUUUAUAGUGAGUUGAGUUGAGUUAUUGGUAAUCAAAAGUAAAAAAAAAAGAGCGGGCGUGGACGAGAAUUGAGAGCAGAGUAUGAGGGAGUGAGAGUGAAGAAGAUGAGUACUGUUGAUAAAAUGUUGAUCAAGGGCAUCCGGAGCUUCGACCCGGAGAACAAGAACGUCAUCACCUUCUUCAAGCCCUUAACCCUAAUCGUUGGCCCCAAUGGUGCUGGCAAGACAGUAAGCAUUCAUUCAUUUCAUUUCAUUUCAUUUUCUCUAUCAAUCAUCCCUGUACUUACUUGUGCACAGACCAUCAUUGAGUGCUUGAAGCUUUCCUGCACCGGCGAGUUGCCACCUAACGCUAGGUCUGGCCACAGCUUCAUCCACGACCCAAAGGUUGCGGGGGAAACCGAAACAAAGGGUCAGAUUAAGCUCCGUUUCAAAACGGCCGCCGGUAAAGACGUGGUCUGCGUAAGGUCCUUUCAGCUCACACAGAAGGCCUCCAAGAUGGAAUACAAGGCUAUCGAAAGUGUGCUUCAAACUAUUAAUCCUCACACUGGCGAGAAAGUUUGCCUCAGCUAUCGAUGCGCUGACAUGGAUAAAGAGAUUCCUGCCCUCAUGGGCGUCUCCAAGGCCAUUCUCGAAAAUGUUAUAUUCGUUCAUCAAGAUGAAGCCAACUGGCCUCUCCAGGAUCCUUCUACCUUAAAGAAAAAGUUCGACGAUAUCUUUUCCGCUACCAGGUAGCUUCAUUUCUUCAUCCCCUGCCCUUGUUACUUUUUACUCACUCAAUACAUGCUUUUAGAUACACCAAGGCACUCGAAGUUAUAAAGAAACUUCACAAGGAGCAGGCUCAAGAGAUUAAGACUUACAAGCUCAAACUGGAAAAUCUUCAGACUCUCAAAGAUGCUGCUUACAAGGUAGCUACCUCUACCUCGCUUUCCUCUUCCCUAUAAAUCAUUAAAAAAACAAUAUCUAAUUAUUUCAUUUUGUUUUCUUAUUAUAGCUUCGGGAAAGCAUUGCACAGGAUCAAGAGAAAACAGAGUCUGCAGAAUGUCAACUGCAACAGUUGGAUGGCAGCAUUCAAGAAUUGGAUCAUAAAAUUCAUCACACGGAGGAAACAUUGAAAUAUUUGCGGAAGCUGCAGGAGCAGAUAUCAACUAAAACUGCUCAACGAAGCAUCCUGUUUAAGGAACAACAGAAACAAUAUCUAGCUCUCACUGAGGAGAUUGAAGGUGUGUAAGUGUUGAACAUGGUAUACGUUUUACCAGUUUUAAAUUCUUUAUCUCUUUCUAUAUUGUUAAUAGUUUCAAUCCUAAUGGAUUUACACAGAUAUGCCCCGUUUAAUAUAUAUGUAAGUUUCUAAUGCUUUUUUCUGCAUAUUAUAUUUGAUUAGACACCGAUGAAGAGUUGAUGGAAUGGAAGACCAAGUUUGAAGAAAGGAUUGCAAGUUUAGAAACAAAAAUAAGCAGGUUGGAAAGAGAAACGGAGGACAUUGACUGUACAAGUUCUACCCUUAAGGAGACCAUUGCUGAAUCCAUCGAAGUGAUUGCCAAGCUACAAGCUGAAGCAGAAGUAAAUGAAUUGAUACACAAGCUGCCUAUACUGACAUCUAGUAUUGCAGGACAUUGUUGUAAUUUUCUCUCUAAUUUGAACUGCAGGCUCACAUGUCAUUCAAGAAUGAACGUGAUUCCUCCAUUCACAAUCUUUUCACUACAUAUAACUUGGGAUCUCUUCCAAAGUCACCUUUCAGUGCUGAGGUUGCUUUAAACCUCACUAAUCGUGUAAAAUCAAGGUUGGAAGAUCUUGAGAAGGACCUGGAUGAUAAAAAGGUGAUUUUUCUGUUCUCUCUUUCUGGUUUAUGUGUGAGUAUGUUUACUUUUAGGUGCCUGUGCUAGGAGGCAAAUUGAGAAGUUGAAGAAUUUUCAAGGGUGAUUUCUCGCUGUUACUUAAUAUUUGGGAUAAAGGAUCUUCUUGUUUUCUUCGUGGUAUUCAAUUGGCAGUAUAGUAGAGGGUUUCUUUGCUGGAUAUAUCAAGAGAUUUGUAUGCUUUGCUCACUUGAUUUUUCCUUUAGCAAGGAUGUUGUUUGUAUGCUCCUGUACUUCUUUCUUUCUGACAUCCACUCUAUACUGUAGUGAAUUUUUUUUCUUAUUUAAAGAAUGUGCUUGUCUAAAUUUUUCAAAAUUUUAAAUUAUUUUCACCAUAUCAAAAAUAAGAAAACAACUUGAUUAUUAACUCUUUUUUUUGCUUCUUAUGUGCAGAAGGCAAAUGACAAUGAAAUCAAGAUGGCAUUUGAUUGCUACAUGAAUGCAAAUGACCGUUUGAAACAUACUGAGGCUAAAAUAAAGGCUAUGACAGGGAGCAAGGUUUGGUGUUUCAUUUCAAUGCACAAAUUUCUUGUCUAUUUAUCUUGUACGAUGUUAGUACCUUGUUAUGUAUGCAGAGUGGCAUUUCGAAGCGUAUUGAAGAGAAGAAAAAUGAGCUUGAUUCACUUGAACUUCAAAUAUCUGAUGAAAACUUCUCUCAAUUAGAUGAAAGAGAAAGAAAUUUGGUAAGGGUAGCCUGCUCUUUGGUGAUGUUUUGUAAUUUAUAUAUAACCUUUAUUUUAGACAUGUGGCAAAUAUGAAUAGCAUAAUUUUGAGUAAUGCUGGCAGGAAAAUGAGGUUAAGAGGAAGGCAAGCCAACUCGACGAAAGACAAUUUGAACCAAAUAAAUGUGAAGUGGAAAAGGAGAUAUAUAGUGUAGAUCAAAAGAUUAAGGCUGUCAGUCGAGAGAAGGAUAUCAUGGUUUCUGAUUCACAGGACAGAGUUAAGCUAUCUUAUAAGAAGGGAGAGUUGGAAAGUCAGAAGAAGAAACAUAAAAAGAUGUAGAUCCAUUUUCUUUUUAUCUCCUUUGCUUUUGGCUUUUUGUUUUCAAAAUUAUAUAUUUAGAAGUUGGUGAUCAUCUGUUUAUUCUUUACAGAAUUGAUGAACAAAAGGACAAAAUAAGAAAGGUGCUGAAAGGGAGGGUUCCUCUUGAUAAGGAUGUGAAGAAGGAAAUUAUGCAAGCAUUAAGGUUUGGGAAAUCUUUUCUUUCAUUGUUUGCAUCUAACUUGUAGUUGUCGUCCUAUCUCCUAUCUCUUGAAUUUGGACUGAACCUAACUCAAUCACAAAAGUUAAAUCAUAAGGUAAGGAUUAUUGAAAACUUUUUAAGCUCUACGGUGGCCAUAUCAUAUCUAUAGUCGAUGUGAGAUCUCAGUACACACUCCUCAUGCCCAAAAUUGAACAUGUACGUGGAGAUUAUAGGACUGAUUAUUUUACUCCCUCCGUUCCAGAUUAUAUGACGUUUUGGAGAAAAAAAAUUGUUCCAAAAUAUAUGUCGUUUUGCAAAACCAAUGCUGCAUUAAAUAUUUUUUCCAUGACUACCCUUAAUCAAUACAUAGUGGGAGUAGUGUAUAGGAAGAGUAAAUUAGUCAUUAAUUAGAGAGAUAAAGGGUAUAUUAGGAAGUUACUUAAUGUUUUCUUUGAAAUUCAAUAAAUUAAUUGCAUUCCUUAAUACUUGUACCAAAACCUUAAACUUCAUAUAAUCUAGAACGGAGAGAAUAUAUUGCACUAAGAAUGCCACUGUGGUGUUGAUUGCUCAGCAAAGUUUGUGGAACUAAAUUCAUUUUUUUGACAUUUGAGGAUGAGCCAAUAUCAGAUUUAUAAUAUUGUUGAAAUGACAACUGUGAGUGAAAAAAUCCCACAUUAGGUUAAAGUGCAAAGUAGAUCAUAUAUUAUCUUGUAUUUAUGUUUUUUUUUUGUGGUUCAGGGCUGUUGGAGCUGAAUUUGAUGACCUGAAUGCAAAGUACCGUGAAGCUGAGAAGGAAGUCAAUGUGUUGCAGGUGAAAAUACAAGAAGUUAAUAGUAACCUAUCCAAACACCACAAGGAUUUGGAAUGUAAGUGCUGUAUAUCAUUCAAAGAAGUUGCAUAUAAAUAUUGUAGUUUAUGAGUGAAAUCAAUGUUUCGUGUUCUGCAUUUGUAAUGUUGCAAUGGUUCACAGGUAAUUUACUUGUGUAGUUGACACAUCAAAAGAUUUUUAUUUUCUUUUAAAAUUUAAAAAUUUCCCCCCCCCCCCCCCCCCCCCCAUAUUGUGUGGCACUCUUUUUAAUUAAGUCUAUUUCAAUUUAGUCCUUUAUAACAAUCAUUUUCAAUUUACUGCUUACUGUUUUUUGUUUUAUAAUACUGUCUAUAGUCUAUUAGAGUUAUAUUAGUGUAGGGAUCUAAUUAUAAUUAGAUCACUAAUAGUAUAUUUUUGGUCCCUAUAUAUGUAACACUCAUUUUUCAUUUGUUUAUUGUACUUCACUAUAACUCCAUACCAAUUUCAUUGUUAUAACAGGGAUGAAUUUGAAAAAUUGUUGUAUAUGCAUCAAAUUGAAAAUAUGCAUAUGUAUAUGGACAAAAAAUAUAUCUAAACCUUUCUCUGGAAUAACUACAGUUUUUAGUUUUAGGAUUGUAUGUUUUUUACAUUCUCUAGGUACAUAGUUUUUCAAGAACAAAUAAAAUUGCUGGAUGCUGCUUCAUGUAUGGUAUUACUUUAGUAAUAAAGAAGUUUGAUGAUGUCAAAUACAGUCAUAUAAUAAUAAAAAAACCCUAAAUCAUACAUCAUAAUGGAAUCAACACACAAAACCCCUAUUGAUCCCUAACAUAGAAUAUUCAUUUAAUCAUCAUAUCAAGGAGAUCAAUGCAUUCAAUUACCAUCUCAAGCAUAUCAAUAAUUAUGGGGAAAAGGGGAACACAUUUGGGGAUGCAUACAAAGCCAUCAAUGCAGUUAUGGGGAGGGGGAAACAUGCAAGGGAAUGCACUCACCUGGAUAUAGUUGACAACUCCCCUAACAGGGUGCCUAGGUUGUCCAUUCUGCGUUUCUCCUCUUCUCCCUUAUCUAUUUCCUCCUCUCCUUUCCUUUCCCACGACGUGUGCAUUAUGAGGGUGUGGAUGUGGCUCGGGGUUUAUGAACUGUCGCCAUUUAUUGGGCCAUAGCAGCCCUUCGCCCCUUUCUUUUAAAAAUCCAUCUCUCUUUUAACUGAAGCCCAUGUGUUAAGCUAUUAACUAAAUCCUUCCUAAUUAUUAGAAUACCCCUUUUUAUAAUAAGACUAACUUUGUGGGAUGUUACACAAAUCAUCUACGUUGAGUUUUUUAAAAGUUUGGGUUUGUAGGUUCUAAUGUCUACGUGAAUUUUUUUAGUGCUUUUGAAAGCCACACGGUUCUGCAUAUCAAUAAUAUGAUAAUAGUGUGCCAUAAAUAGAAAUAGGCAAAUAGCCAUUCCAUAGUUUAGCAUUUUGUAUGUGUCUCUUAUUCCCAAUUGAUAUUUUUAUAUCUUUAUGCUGCUUCUCCUUUGCCCAGUAGUCUAGUGUGCUUUUUUUCUUCUGCCAUGCUGAAUUACUGAACACAGUUUUGCACCAUUUAUAAAUAAUUUUCUUGCAGCAAGAAAGAGAUAUAUUGAAUCUAAGCUUCAGUCUUUGGACCAGCAAUGUUCUGGAAUUGAUUCUUAUCUCAAAGUUUUAGAGUCUGCCAAGGAGAAAAGAGAUGUCCAAAGAAGGUCAAUUUGUGCCAGACAUUCAUGACGUCAUCUUUGUGACCAUAUCAAAGUGUUGUUUGUGUUGUCACUAGGUACUGGUCUCAUGUACUAAUACUUUGUCUGGUGAUUGCUUGCAGCAAAUAUAAUAUUGCUGAUGGUAUGCGGCAAAUGUUUGAUCCUUUUGAAAGGGUUGCAAGAGCUAAUCAUGUUUGCCCUUGCUGUGAGCGUCCUUUUUCUCCAGAAGAAGAAGACAGUUUUGUCAAAAAGGUUGGUACAUUUCACAUCAUAUUAUAAUAUACUGAUAUUAUCUAUUGGUUUUGAGCAAGCACUUUAUAUCCUUUUGAAUUGUUUUUUUUUUCUUUUCUAAUGACAGCAAAGAGUGAAGGCUACCAGUUCAGCUGGACAUAUGAAAGUUCUCGCCGUAGAAUCCUCAAAUGCAGAGUCUCAUUUUCAGCAAUUGGACAAGCUUCGUAUGCUUUAUGAAGAAUAUGUUAAACUUGGCAAGGAAACAAUCCCUAAUUCCGAAAAGGAACUUCAGCAACUUAAAGAAGAGAUGGAUGACAAAUCUCAGGCUCUUGAUGAUGUAAUUAUCAUAAUUUCUUUUAAGUAGAAAGUUGAAUCCCUCCAUACUUGUUACUUCCUUUCUUGAAUGUUUGCUUUGUGGAUAAUGAUGAUUAUUAUUUUUUUUAUCAAUUGUUUAGUAUUAUCUAUUUCCCCCCUUUUGCUUGGUGUUAACUUGUUUUAGAUUACACAACUACUGCAACUGUCAGGUUUUAGGCGUUUUAGCACAAGUAAAAUCUGACAAGGAUUUGGUUGAGACAUUGGUGCAACCUGUUGAAAAUGCUGACCGGAUUUUCCAAGAAAUUCAAGCUUUACAAAAGCAAGUUGAGGAUUUAGAAGAUAAGCAUAAUUUUCGAGCACAGGGAGUGAGGACUCUAGAAGAGAUUCAAUUGGAGCUUAACACAUUGCAGAGCACAAAGUAAAUAGCUUAAGAUAGUUUCUACUUUAUACUAACAUGAACAAUUUCACAAUCUAGAUCUAUCAAGAUAAAUUGAUUCUUUCAUCUCAGCAUCAUCUCCUAUUCCCUAAGUGCACUUAUUUACUAUGAGUUUUUGUUUUAUGUUUCUUAUUCCUAUAAUUAUUUCCAUGCAUAUCUUGGUUACAAGGGAGAAUUUGCAAUCUGAAUUGGAUCGGUUGAAGGAUGAACAGAGGUAUAUGGAGAAGGAUCUAUCAAGUAUUCAAAUGCGGUGGCACACUGUAAGGGAGGAAAAAACAAAGGCAACUAACAUAUUGCAAGGUGUUAAAAGAUUAGAAGAAGAAUUGGAACGUUUAACUGAAGAAAAGACCCAAGUUGAUCUCGACGAGAAGGUGUAUAAUUAUCUCAUACAUUGAUGGAUACUUAAUUUUGAGUUAUAGGCAUGUGUAAUUGCUUUUUUACCCCUUUCCGUGUAUGAGAGUACCUUAUACACAUUCUAUAUAUUUUAUCUUCAAAUUCAAUGUGUUGUAUCUUUGUCUAUAUAGAAUAAAGAAAUUAAACAGCUACUCCCCCACCCCACCCACCCACUAAAGGAAUUGCCUGUUUUUCAAAAUUCUCAAGCUUACUGAUUGAUUCAUACACUUGUUUUUAGUUCAUUUUCAGACUUAACAUGAUCUGUUUGUGUUUAUUUACAAAAAUAAAAAAUAACAAUUUAGACACCCUUUAUUUCAAAAUUCUUUACAUCAAUCAAAAUUGCCAAAUUUAUGAACUGAUUACUUUGUUGCUACUAUUUUAAAAAUGCUCUAGUUUUUUUGUCUUUCUUUACCAUGUCCAAAUGCAUAGUAUCACCCAAAAUUUUGGUAUUUGCAGCAUUUGGCAGAUGCUCUUGGACCUUUAUCCAAGGAGACAGACAAAUUACUUGCUAACCAUAAUGAACUGAAAAUUAGACUCGAGCGUGAGUAUGAGGACCUGGCUGAACAGAAGAGAAGUUAUCAACAAGAAGCUCAAGCACUUUUUAAAAUGAAUUCUAAGAUCAAAACGUAAGCUUAUUUGCUUGAAAAAUGUUAGCUUUUAAGACUCUGAAUUUCUUUAACAUAUGUUUCGUUUGAUCAGGUAUUCUGAUUUAAAGAAAGGAGACAGGCUAAAGGAACUGCAGGAAAAGAAAUCUUCAUCAGAAUCUCAACUUCAAAGUUUUGAUACAAGGAAGCAGGAAAUUUUAGCUGAACUAAACAAAAGUAAAGAUUUGAUGCGAGGUCAAGAUCAACUAAAAAGAAAUAUUGAGGACAACUUAAAUUACCGGAAAACAAAGGCUGAAGUAGAUGAGCUAGCACAUGAAAUUGAAACAAUGGAAGAAAAUAUAUUGAAGGCUGGUAGGAUUUCCACAGUUGAAACUGAACUCCAGAAACUAUCACAGGAGAGGGAGAGACUUCUUUCAGAGGUAUUUUCAAAUCCUGAAUCAUACAUCUAUGCUUGCAAUCUUAAUUAGUUUAGCCAAUUAUCAUUUCUAUGUUCACAUCUUCGAUAGUUAUAUACUAUUCCUUCUAGUGUAGAACUGACACACCUUAUUUUUCUCUUUUUGGUUAUAUACCGGUGCCUUGGUGAUAGUUAAACAGGUGCCGUGGAACAAUGUCUGUUUACCAAAGCAAUAUUUCCAAAAAUAAGGUUGAUCUUAAGCAGGCUCAAUACAAGGACAUAGAUAAGCGAUACUUUGACCAACUUAUCCAGCUUAAGGUGUAAUCACCUGUGAUACCAAUACCAUAUUUGUAUGCUUUCUUUAAUUCUCUGUUUUAUGUUGUUGACAAUUCAACUUUUCUUUGCAGACAACUGAAAUGGCCAACAAGGAUCUAGACAGAUACUACAGUGCACUUGAUAAGUGAGUUUCUUUAAAAUUCAGUAAUGUUCAACAUUACAUCAAGUUUGUAUGGCUUGAGUGAUAUUGCUUCUUCAGUCCAAACCAAGGAAUCCCUUAAAUAUGAUUCAAAAUGGAUCCUAUUCUAUCGUUGAUCAGAGAUUUAUUUCUAUAUGAAAAAUAUGAAUCAGAGUUUGAAGAAAAGACAGGGGAGGGGGGGGGGUCCUUGACCUCUGUUAUCUGAUAGUCAUGGUUUUGCAAUGCAUAACUAAUUGAAUAAGAUAACUUCUUACCUCAUAAGGCCAUUUCUCUCUUGUACUUCAAAAGCUGACGCAUGUAACCACCUCAUUUUGCAUUGCGAGGUGCUGAGGUUACUUGGCAGCUUUGGUAUAAGCUGUUUGGGUAAUGCUGGAUAUUUCUGUUAUUUGCUAUAAUUAUAUUAUGUGCAUUUACUUGCUCAAUUGUAUGUUAUAUGUGUUGGGAAUGCAAAUGCACAUGCUUUAUUCUUCCUGACAUGGAAAAUAGAAGGGUUACACUUUAGGUCCCUUAGCAUUAAUAUUUGAAAUUUAAUCUCAUUAAACAUUUAGCUUUAAUUAUAUGAUAAUGCAGAACCCCAUAGUUUUUGAAUUGGGUGCAAUCAAGUUCCCUUCUCUAAUUGGCAUUAACAUGGCGCCCUUUGCUUAUGCGGCAUUAUGAAAUGCCAUUUUGACCUUAGUAAAGUCAAAAGGCCACAUUAGCAAAAGCAACAUGAAGUCUGCAUCUGGUUGAUUGGGAGCUCCACUUAAUCAACUGGAAAACUAUCAGAAUAACAUUGUUGCAAUUGAACAAGGGGGAGCCAACAACACCAAACUAUAAUAAACCAAGGAGACUAAAAAAUAUAAUUAGGUCAUCAAGGCAGGGAAAUGCAUGUCUUUCAAGAAGUUCAUGAAAUCAGUUUCCUCAUUUUCUGUGUUUAGUUCUUGUUGCAAGCUAAUUAUCACGCCUGAAAUACAAUUACAAAUUAUGAAAUGAAAGCAUAUUAAACUGUCUACUUCUAGUUUCCAAGCAAUAAUCAAUAUGGUUACACUUGUUAACAAAUUAGAUACUUAUGUAUCAAAUUACUGAUCAUAAUCUGCAUUUGAUUUUUGUUCAUUUGUGACUUUUUAUGAUUCAUCUUUCAGAGCACUGAUGCGCUUCCACACAAUGAAAAUGGAAGAAAUCAACAAAAUUAUAAGGGAAUUGUGGCAGCAAACCUAUAGAGGACAAGAUAUAGACUACAUCAGUAUUCAUUCAGACUCCGAAGGUGCAGGGACCCGUUCCUACAGUUACAAGGUUUGACAUAUCGUAUUGAAACACCAAUUCCUUGAGAAGCUGUCUAAUAUCCUCAUAAAAUCUUUGAAAUAUUGUUCUUGUGCAUUCCAUACAGGUUCUCAUGCAGACUGGUGAUGCAGAGUUGGAGAUGAGAGGAAGAUGUAGUGCAGGUCAGAAGGUAUGUUAUCACCGAGGGAAUUGCUAUGUGCCUAUGUCUAGUAUUCCUUUUUUUUAAAAUAAAAAUAAAAAUAAUAAACAAAUAAGCUUGACUUAAUUGUGAGGUUCCAGGUUCUGGCCUCUCUUAUCAUACGGUUGGCUUUAGCUGAAACGUUUUGUCUCAAUUGUGGAAUACUUGCACUGGACGAACCUACCACAAAUUUGGAUGGACCAAAUGCUGAAAGUCUAGCUGCAGCUCUCGUAAGGUGUGAAUAGAUUGUCGCCUAGUUCUGAUUAAAUUUUCAUGCCUCCAUUCCUAAUUAUAAGAUCCUUUCAACUAAUUCACACCUCUUAAGAAAAUUAGUUAAUUUAUUUAAUUACAUUAAAUUUGUCAAUUAUUUAUACAAUCGUUCUAAAUUUUUUUUUUUAUCUCUCUAUCCACUUAAUUACUUCUCAUUAAUAUUUGGAGAUAGAAUAAUUUAGUAAAGAUAUAUAGGAAAAAAAAUUUAAUGUGUCUAAAAAUUAGAAAGAAGUCUUAUAAAAAAUGACAAACAAAUUUCUGAAAAUGAUGUUAUAAUUAAGGACGGAUGAGUGAAUUAAUUUUGUAUUAAUGUGCUGUUAUCUUCUUUAUAAUGCAGGAUCAUGGAGGACAGGAAAGGGCAGGAAAAUUUUCAGCUAAUUGUAAUCACUCAUGAUGAGCGUUUUGCUCAACUGAUAGGGCAGCGCCAGCAUGCAGAGAGAUAUUAUCGUGUCGCCAAAGAUGACCAGUAAGAACGACGAUAAUUACAGUUUCAUUUUGUUUUCAUGUCAAUAUCGCAUAAGAAAAGAAAUUCUGUUUACUUAACUUCUCCGUCUCACAUUUUCAGUCAGCACAGUAUAAUCGAAAGCCAGGAGAUAUUUGACUGAAGGAAGGAUUUUAUAUUCGAAAUUGCUUGUUGGUGUUACCAGUACCGACUGGCGGAAUUGAAAAACCAGACAUCCCUCGAGUCAUUUAUGCUAACUGCUGUCGAUAUAGGAUAUCGUAGGUGGGGUCGUCCUAGUAAAUUAAAAGGUUUAAACACUUGACUGCAAUUUUCACAUUUUGAUAAGCAUUUCAUUUAUGACCUGCUGCAGUUGCAAUGAAAGAUCUGUACGUAGAAAACAACGGUUUUCUGUUUACUGGUAGAAGAUUUAUUGCAUUGUAUGGAUGAUCUCAGUCAUUGUGAAAAAAUGAGGCCUGUAAAUCAGGAUACUGAUAUGAAAAUUAAAAAAAAAUUAUUAUUUUUCAUAGGGAUAUUAUUUUUGUAUAGCAAUUCAUUGAAGUAACUUGAAAUGAACAAAAGCUUUCUCCAGCUUCGAAUGGUAAGCAUAAUAUUUGAUUUUGUUAUUAAGAAAAUAUAUUAUGUAAGGAAAACAAAACAAGACAAAUGAACUUAAAAUUGAAUCGAAAAACCAAGCUAGCCUGUGACACCAGAAAACAAAAGAUUGCGCAAGACAUUUUGAAGCUAGUCCUUGUACUUCAACUCAGAUACAAGGAAGCCAGGCAUAUUGUUGUCAACAUCAGCUUUGAGCUCUUCAAUGGCCCUAUUGUUGAAAUCCUUCAAAAGUUUGCCAUACUCCUUCUGGAUGUCCAGUGUGAAAAUCAGUGCACGAUGAAGGAACUCUCUGAUCUGCUCAAAGUCCUUAUCAACCAAGCCCCUAGAAGUCAGCUAUAUACCGGAGCAUUACUGACACUUCUCCUUCUCAAUCAGCUCUUGGAUUUCUGGGUCCACCGUCACCUGUUUAACUAUCACCGCUUCCGACCUUCACUUCACUUAACAGUUAACACAACACAAACCAAACAACUGAUAGUGCACUGUGCUUUCUGAUCUGAUCUGCCCUUUAAACCCAAUUCCCCAUUCCCUACCAUAUGCUAAUGGACCAUUCUACCCCUUUUUCUGCUAUAUUUUCGUUUUACUUUACUGUUAGAUGUGACUCAUGCGAGGUGGUUUAAUGAAAAUGAAAGAUACAAAGAAAAAAAAGAAGGAAAAAAGUAUGCUGUAUGCGCAAAUUAAAUGAAAGAGAAUUGUCCACGUGUCUAAAGGUGUUAAGUACAACUACUACAUAGAGGUUGAUUUGUAAGUAAUAAUACACUAGUACUUCACAAAAGACCAACCCUGCCCUGCCCAUAAAUAUAAUUGUCUCAUUCCCAUUUGCUUGACUGCAAAUUUAUUUCUGUAAGCUGUGGUCGGGUUAGAAAAAUUCUGACGUGUAACUGAAAACUGUGGUUAAGCUUCUUUCUUUGUUCUCACUUCUCUUCUCUCCGGUGUAGUGUAGUUGGUGGUUUAUCGUCAAUUGGGUUGGUGAGGGUCGCAUGGUCAUUUUAUUGUAUUGCUAGAUCAUAUCAUCAUGCAACUUAUAAAGACAUUAUCACGUUAAACGUUACUCUAGCGUAGUUUUGCUCGUGGCAUUACGAGUUGUAUAUCAUAUCAUUACUAAGUGAUAAUAAAUAUUAUUUUAAAAAAUAAAAUUUAUGAAAGUAAUUUAAAUGUCUUCAUUUUAUAUCCGUGUUCAUUUUUUUUAAUCUGUUUUGGCUACAUUCCAAAAUUGUGAGUAAUUUGUUAACUAUGGUAUUGAGUUGCUGAAACUUUGACGCUUGUAUUAUAAAUAUCUUAUCAAUAUACUUGACAUUAUAUCUUGCUAAUUCUAAGAAAAAUGAUGUAAUGAAAAGAAACUUGUUCAUAUAUUUAAAGAGUGAAUAGACAAUUUAGUCUCUGAGAUUGUACCUAUUUUGCAUAUUAGUUCCUAACUUAAUAUUAAAUUCAAAAUAGUCCCUAUCUUUGCAUAAGUGUUGCAAAAUAGUCAUUCCAUUAAAUUUUAAAGUAACGCCGUUAGUGAGGUCAAUUUUAGUGCCACGUGGACUAUCCACGUGGCACUAAAAGAUGAUGUGGCAUGACACGUGGACGUGCCUAAUGCCACGUCAUUUGAUAAUAACAAAAUGAGUAAAUAGGCAAUUUAGUCCCUGACUUUGUACCCUUGUUGCAUAUUAGUCCCUAACUUAAUGAAAAAUUCAAAAUAGUCCCUAUCUUUUACAUAACUAUUGCAAAAUAGUCCUUCCGUUAAAUUUUAAAGUAAUGUUGUUAGUAAGGUCAAUUUUAGUAUCAUGCCAUUUGAUGAUGAUAGAAUGAGUGACUUCUUCAAAUUUGAUGAUUUUGAACCAAUUGAGGCAUAUAUACGAAAAAGAACUCACACACACUUACACAAAUAAAAAGAACCAAAAAUCCACAACAACAACCUUAUCUCUGUAGCUGUCAACACCAAUGGGCGAGGUUUGCAUAACCAUUCUCUUUUCCUCUUUUUUUUUCUUCAAUUACCAUCAAUGUAUCAUUCUGGGUUCUGAUUUUUUUGUGUGUUUUGAAUAGGAAGAGAAAAAACCAGAGGAAAACAAAGUGGAGGAGAAAAAAGCAAAUGAAGAAGAAAAGAAAGAAGAAGAGAAAAAACCAGAGGAAUCAAAAGAUGACAAGGAAUCCAAGGAGGAAUCUGCACUGCCAGAAAUCGUGUUAGGCACAACCUUUGCAAUGCAUUGACACUUUAAGCAUGAUUUCUAGCAUCUUUUAAGUUAGGGACUAUUUUGCAACACUUAUGCAAAAGAUAGGGACUAUUUUGAAUUUUUCAUUAAGUUAGGGACUAAUAUGCAACAGGGGUACAAAGUCAGGGACUAAAUUACCUAUUUACUCAUUUUGUUAUCAUCAAAUGACGUGGCAUCAGGCACGUCCACGUGUCAUGCCACGUCAUCCUUUAGUGCCACGUGGAUAAUCCACGUGACACUAAAAUUGACCUCACUAACGGCGUUAUUUUAAAAUUUAACGGAAGGACUAUUUUGCAACACUUAUGUAAAGAUAGGGACUAUUUUGAAUUUAAUAUUAAGUUAGAGACUAAUAUGCAAAAUGGGUACAAUCUUAGGGACUAAAUUGCCUAUUCACUCUAUAUUUAAAUAUCGAUCAAAUUGAUUGAGUUUAUAAUACCAAUUAGAAAAUUAUGAAUGAGAGUGUUUAGGAAGAAUCAUUUUUUAUUCAUUUUGGCUAAGUACAAACAUAGAUGAAUUACAUUUCAUAUUGUGGAUUUAUUUGGGUAAAUAUAAGUGAACCAUGUAUUAUAUGAUUAAGUUCACGUGCCAAUUUUCUUUUUACAUUCUAUUUGCCUAAAUUGAGUGGUUAUAAUACAUGUUUUAUGAAAUCACUUUGACUAAGCCCGUGCAAUGUCUGAGAUUAUGAGUAAUUAUAUGUUUAAAAAUUAACCAAAUUGAUUGGCGUUUAUAUAUAAUGUGUGUUAGAAAAUUAUGAAUUACAGUAUUUGGAACCAUUUUUUUUAUUCAUUUUCGUUACAUUGCAAAAAUGUAUGUAAAUUAGUGAAUGACUUGGAUGAAGUAAGCAUGUCGUUCGUGAACUAUGGUAUUAAGUUGUUGAAACUCAUGUUUGCAUUGUAAAAAUUGUCAAAACUCAUUAUUAUUAAACUUUUACUUAAAAUUACUUGCGGUAAAAGAAAAUGUACAAAUGGUUAAUUGUUUCCAUAAUAACGAAAAUGUAUAAGGUUAUUGAAUAAAUUAUUUGUUAAAUUUAAUAGUGUAUUUAUUGAAGCAAAUUGUAUUACACUUUUGUUGAAGUGUCUUUUAUGGCUUUUAUAUAAGAACUAAGAAAUGCAAUAUAUUUUCUGGUUAGUUAUGAAAUUUUUCAUUGUAACCUUUAUAUAUAUAUAUAUAUAUAUAUAUAUAUAUAUAUAUAUAUAUAUAUAUAUAUACUCUACAAUAAAUACAUACUAGUUCUUUUUCUUAUUCACUUCCAUGGUAAAUGUAUAAUUUAAUUUAAAAUUAGAUGAAAAGUAAGAGCUAAAUUGAAAAACAAAUGUUAUCUUAAAUUUUAAAAAUAUACUCCCUCUUGGUCUUAAUUAUAUGAAAAAAAAUGCAUGUAUGUUGGUCCAGUAAAUAAAUAAAUCUAAAUUAAUUUUACUUUUUAAAAGGUAGUAUUAAAUAAUAUUAGUAAAAUUAAAUAAUAUUAACUAAUAAAAGGUAGUAUAACAAAAAAGUUUACUUUUUAAAGAGAUUAGUAAAAUUAAAUAAUAUUAACUAAUUUUUUUAACUUUCAUAAAUCAUUGUUAUUAUUUAUAUUCCAUACCGAAAAAAGUAAAAGAAUAAUAUUUUUUUUAAAAAAGAGAAAAUUAAAAAGAAAUGGAGUAAGUAGUAAUCAAAUUUUAAAAUUUUUACCAUCGUUAAUUUACCAGAUCACCGACAAGACAAAUAUAAAGAGCUGGGGCUACCAUUUUCACAGGUCCAACGUUUGGCAGCUAAGCCCCAUGCCUUUUUAAUUUCAACGUUCUUGCUUUGCUUUUCGGCUGUCCUCCAUUUCUGUGCCCCGUUUACUUCAACAUUCACAGAAAAUAUUUUAGUUUUAUAUUUAAAAUUAUAAAACAAAAAUCACCUGUAAAUUACAUUAUGUGAAAUAAAAAUAUAUAAUUAAGCUUAGACGAUUUUUUUUUAUCAAGUAUGCAACACCCACCUAUAGAACACAGUCUUCGUGGGUUCAUUUCAUUGUAUAUUCCAAUUUCCAAGCAUAUAUUCAGAUCCUCUAAGUAUGAAUUUUGAAAAUAUAACAUUACCGGUAUAUGUUUAGACUAAAGUUUGUGAACUUAAAUUUGGAUUAAAUUUAAGUUUAUAAAUUAAGUUUGUAAAAAUAUCUCAAGUCUUAUUUUUAUUAAUCUGAGUUUUUAAAUAAAAAUUUAUUCUCAAACAUUCUUUUUAAGGAUAAUCAAACAUAAUGAUUUUAAAUUGAUUUUCCUCUCAAACGUAAUUUUAAAACACUUCCAUUAAAAAUUUAAACAUACUCUUAGGAUCCUUUUGGUUUAGAGGAAUGAGAAAGGUAUUAAAAUAAACUGAGAUGAAAAAAUAUAAAAUAUUUGAAUUACAGUACGUAGAGUAUAAAGGUGUAAGAUGUACACUAAUUUUUUUUUAAACUUUCAUCUCAAAUGCAAUCAAGUUUUAAGUCCCAUUUAACCAAAUAUUACCUUAAUGUCAAACAAGAUCCAAAUGAUCCUGGAUUCAUGUCCGUCUAAAAUUUGAGAUACUUGAAAAUAUAUUAAGCAAGUUUCAAAUGACAUUAUUUAAUAAGGUCUUGAAUUUGAGACCCUUAAAAAUAUACUAAAGGUAAUUAAUCAAAUUUUCUUUGAGAAUAAGUGGUAUGGAAUGUAACAUGGUGGCAAAACGGAAAAAUGAUAUGGGGUGGUGGAACUGGAGCUUGCUUCACGGGUAUUUUAUUUUGUCAAUCUGAGACCCACCAACCGCGGAGUCAUGAUCAGAGGUUGCUGAGUGUUGAGGUUUCAAUUGUGGCUCUCAACAAAACACCACUGCUGUGACAAAUAUAGUAUUAGUAGGCGAGACAACCACGUAGCAUUAAAAAACACACAAAUAACACCUCAUAAUUAAAGACAUAAACUCUCUGUUUGUGUACUGCUAGAUGUAAAAUAAAAUAUAUAUAAAAUCUGAGAUAUUUAUCCAAUUUAUACCAUUUUUAAAAAUAAUAUCAGGGAUAUUUAAUUAAAGUACAGUAACAUAUAUGUGUAAACAUAAACAUAAUGAACAAAAUUAAAAGAAGUAUGAAACACUGCAUCCAGAAAAGAAAAAGGUUGACAAUGAAACACAUGCACACAAGAAAGCAAAGGUAAGACGAACAAGAAGAUUUAUUAAUUAUUCCUAAAGCACACAUAAAUAAUCUCUGUUAGAUACUGGCGGCGGUGGAGGUUUUCUAUACAGCAGCUGUAUAUAUGUAUAGUUCAUCAAGACAGGCCUUUGCGAUCGGGUGUAACGUUACUAUACAGCUUUGAGCUUUUCCACGCUAUUUUUUGUUUCUUGGGCAAGCUUUUGGAAACUAAAUUAUUUUUGUUUUAAAUAAAUGUUAUCAAUUUUUGUUAAGUUAUAUGGGAUAAAGAAGACAUAAACGGAUAGUCAUACACAAAUGUGUUUGAGCCUUUUUAAUAUGAAAAAUACAUGUAUUUUAGUCAAAAUAAAAAAUAAAUAAUGAUAUCAUAUCUCAACAUAAUCUCAAAGGAAAAAAAAAAGAAUGAUAGCACAGUUUAUGUACUUUAAUUUGGAGGUUGGAAUGUCUUACUAGUCCAGAGAACUAGAGCCCAGAGGUGGAUACACUACUUUUAAAGCAUUAAUUAAACCAACAUUUUAAAAGUAUAAUAAAUAUAUUUUUAAGAAAAUACUUUUUAUUUGUUUAGAUUAAUCAUUUAUGUAAAAAAAAAAAAGAAGAAAAAAGAGUGAUAAGAUUAAUGUGCUAAGUUGCAUAAAUCAGUCCUAGUAACUUGAUAGACAAGACAGAUAGAGUUAAAAUUACAAAAAGUGACUCAACUUAAUUGUCCAGUUUGAGUUGUUUGACAUGCAUGCACACAAAACAUCAACAAACAUUUGAAUGAGCAGAAAUCCAUAUAGAGGCUUAAUUUGGUUAAGAUAAGUAGGAAAAUGAGGAUCUAAAUAAAAUUUUAGUGAUGGUACUAGUAGCAUUAAACGAUCAUGUAAUAUUGCCAUGGCAUGCAUAAGUAACAAUAAGAAAUGAUUACACGUAUACGUAGACACGAAAUAAGAUGAGAUGAAUUGAUUUGACUUGGUGCAGAAGAGGAGAUGGAGCGAAUCAGCAUCGUCCAUUUGGAGUGAGUGGAAGCUAUUUAAAGGCAUAUUCUGAGACUGGCAGACUUGGUAACGAUCGAGCUUUGGAGAUGGCGUUGUUGGUUGAGAAAACAAGCAGCGGAAGAGAGUACAAUGACGCAAGCAGAUUUCGGAAGAUUAAAAUCGUUUGAACUUGAAUGUCAUCGAGUCGGAUCCGGAAUAGUUGGCAGAUCUACAGUUCCCCUCGCAUAAUGUUACGGAUUCAAUAUUCAAACAAUAAUGUGACCAUAGCCCUUGUCAGUAAGAAGAUUAAAAUGAACUGUCAGAAAUAUUUGAUACUGCACGUGUUGUUUGUUACUAUAUAUGCAUCUAAUAAUCUAUUAUACACUUUAAUCCUCUGGCCCUCCAAUACAAUUCGUUUUUCUUAUAAAAAAAAUCUAUAGUUGUCACCUAUGAAGCACGGACACUUCAGCUCCUUACUGUAUUCGAUGUCUGACACGCGUCAGUAUCUAACACCGACACGACACCCGCACUACGUUCUAUAUUUUGGACAUUACAGGUGUCCACGUGUCCGUGUCCGUGUCGUGUCCGGUGUUCGUAUCGGUGUUGGUGCUUUAUAGGUUGCCACUAUACAAAGUGAAGUUAUUCUUUGCAGGGUCAAAGAUCUAAAAACCCAAAAUAAUAAGCUAGAAUCAAAAUGGAAAAGAGAGAGAGACAAGAAAAUCCACCAUUUUUCGCCUGCUCCAAAGUCCCAGCUUUCCACUUCUUUUUCCACAUUUAAUCCUUUUAUAUCAUCAAAGUCCCAGCUGAUUGUUACAUAAGGAUACUUGAUGCUUCAAUUUUGGUUGAACCGGGUAUCCUUCCGCCAAAACCCAAGAACUUAUCCUGUGUAUGAUCAGAUUGGAUUCAUCUCUCUCAACAAAUACUUUUUCAUACACACGGAUAAAAAAAAAGCAAAAAUUGAUCACAAUUUUAUAAGCAACUUAGAGAUAUAUUAUUAAAAUAAUAGUUAAGAACACAAUAAAACUUUUUUUCUUCCGAUAGUACACAUAAAGCAUUCAUGUACCUUAUAUUCUCGUCUGAAUGAAAAUAAUUUUAUAUGAUAAUUAUUUAUCUCCACUUUAUUACUACCUUCGUUCCUGUAUAUAAAAACAAAUAUUUAAUUCAUCAAGAUUAAUGAAAAUAGUUAAAUUAGUUUAUUUUAAUUAAUAUUAUAAUAUUUAAUUUUUUUUCUAAAAUACCCAUAAAAUUGGUUCAGGUGAUAAUUAGAUAUAACAAAAAUAUUGGUAAUCCAAGGAAAAAGAUUCAACCAAUGAGUAUGAGUUAUAUUGUUAAUAACUCAAUAAAUACACUUAUUAGUAAAAUUCAUAAUAAAUUAGAUGUAUAAAAGAAAAUUAAUAAUUAAUACAUUUGAAAGUAAUCAUAGGAAAAAUACUAUCAUUUAUUUCUUAUAUAAAGAAUCAGAGGUAGUAUUUAACAUUCCUUCUACUUUAUUCAUAUAAGGGUUGGUAAGUAAGUUGUUGGUGAAAAGGGCCGUUGUGGAACCCAAGGCAGGUUCGUUUACGCCAGACACAAAAAAUAAAAAGAAAAUGAAUCAGCUUCCAUAAUAUUCGCUCUAAUUUUUUUACAUCACUAAUAGGCCUUCUUAUUUUGUGCAAAGAGGCGAAGAGGGUUAGUUAUUUUGGAUUCGGAAAUUGGCAUUGAAAGAAAAAUAAAGGUACGAGAAAGAAAGUGGUUUUAAUGAUGACAGUAGCAAAAAUGAUGCUAUAAUUUGGGUCCAGCAGAUGCAGGCACUGAUGCAUAUAUAGCCCAUUAGCCCCUUCUUUAUAAGUGGCGCCGUUUGAACACUCCCCACCUCCCCCCAAAGAAAAAGUGGCGCCUACCAUUCAUUAGUCAUUACCAAUAGGCAAUAAUCCAGUGAUCAUCAUAACUGAACUGCAAUUACAACUUAGAAGCUUCAAUGCGAUCCACCCAACCCAACGCGUUUCACAACCAAAAUUCAGCUUUACACUGUUAUUGAGCAAAGUCAAGGUUUUCAUACUAAGCCUUUUUAGCCUUGGCACAUUUCAUAUUAUUCCUAACUAACUCCCUUCACCAUUAACAUUAAUCUAAUUACGCCACAUGGAACUCCUUCAAUUCAUACAAAUACAGUUGGGCCUAGGGUAGGAUCCCAUGAAAAUCUCAUAAGUGACCAAGCAUGACACGGAAGAAAGAGUUGAGUAAAUGUGAAUAAUUUUCAGAACUUGCUCAACAUCUUUCAAACUUUCACACGACCUACCAUCAUUUCAGGCAAACUUUUCCCACCAUCAAGUGGAUAAUAUGAUCCCCUUUAUAAAAUUAUUUACAACGAUGUUACCAUUUUAAACAAACAGACAGCAAUAGAUUAAUAAACACAUACAGGCAACGGGUGGAUAAUAUAAUGCUAUAGAAACUAAUUUUGAUAUAAUGACACAAGAAAUAAUAUAGAUGAUGAUAAAAAGACAUCACCAUUUUCUUAACCACAACCCAUUUAUGUGUUUGACACCCCAUUUAAUAACAUUAUCUCUCAGUUUCUUAUUAUUCUAAGCCCACAACCUCAGCCUGACUAUACCCAUUAGCAAUAUCAUCCAACUUUAUGAUAUUUGGAAAAAGAAAUUGCAUUAGCUAGUUGGAUUGAAUAACUAUCAAGAUGAAAGAAGGAAUUGUUCCUUCUAUUUCCGGAAGGGAUGUCAGUUACACUGUUAUAGAACACUACAACAUUGAAUUGAAGUGGUUCAAUAAGCUAAAGGGGGGAAUGGGACAAAUCAGAGUGCUUUUGUACCCAAGGAAAAGAAUUUCAAAUACUCUGUUGAACAUAGAAAUAGAAAAACAUUAAAAAGUAUGACAUACUCUGUUGAACAUAACAUACAUAAAGUUACGAACAAGAUGUUAUCAAAUACAGGGGCAUAUAUAACCGAAUAUGUAUGCAUAAGAAAUGGUUUUUCAUUGCCUGAACAGUCAACCUACAAUAAUAACAAAAGCCACUAAUCCAGAAAGGGAUGGCAAUUAAGUAGCAUUUUUUCUGUACCCCUCGGCCUUAUAACAGUAAUAAUAAUAUUAUAGAGAUAAUAUUAUCUGUACCAAAAUAAUAAUAUCAUGAUAGUAAAUAUCAUCAUAACAUUAUAGGACCUAUGAUCUAAGGCCCAUUAAAAUAGUGUGUAUAUAUGGUGAGAUCCUCAAGUAAAGUUUAACUGUUCAUGGUCAUUAUUGUUCUUAUUUUAAUAUAUUAAGUAAUAUCUGACUUUGAGCAUUGAAAUACCUUGGCAAGUAUCUCCUCUUGGCGCUUGGAGAAAGGUUUCGGACACAGACGCAGACUAAGGCUCGGCACAUCGAAGGAAAAUUACAGCCGUACCUCAGAGAGGUACAUUUUCUUACCUUAUCAGAAAGCUCAAAAGCAGUACUAGAUGCAACGUUUCCAACAGGCUGUCCAACCUGGUGCUAAAAUGACAAGCCAGGAGACAGACAGGUGCGGUAAUCAAAUUUUUAACCCAAACGAACUUCAUCUUUAAAACCGUCGAUUUCAUUUAAGAUUAUGUUACUAUACAGAUUUUAUGUCACAAGAGACCUGAAUUUUUUUUUAUUAAUUUUAUUUUACCAAAAUCUUACACCAAACCAGAAACUGGUCUAAAAUUUCCAUCUCCCCUUUAUUCUCUGCUUAUUGGGUUUACGCCACAGUUCAAGAGAUUACUAGAUGCAAUCUAUUACACAUUUCUGAAGUCUCAUUAUGUGAUUUAUCGCAAGUCACAAAAAGUAUGGAAUUACAGACUUUCUUAUCACACAACUCAAAACUUUCACGAUGGAUUAAUUGUCCUAUUUGGGGUUAAGCUUCAAAUAUAAGGAAUAUGACUUGGUUAACUAUUUCAAACUGCAGAGGCUAUUAGGUGAACAAAGAUUAGUAUAGUCCAGAGUUGAACAAUAAGACAUGGUAUGUUGGCUUGCGUUUGAUCCACAAAAUCUUGCUUUAGAAACAUUGAAGAAAAUAAAGAGCAAUAGAAGUGACAGUCCUGCAGGAGUUGGCUAUAUAAACACAAGAUCCCACAACAGUACUCAAUCACCUAACAUUAGAUCAAGGCAAAAUGGAAACAGGGAAUAAGAGAUUGUUUUAAAUAAGGUGGUUCUGCAGUAAAAUCUGGUUUUAUAUUAGGAGCUAUCUUCUGCAGAAUACGGUUGGAUUAGCCCGUAUUAAAUCAAAUAUAAGUAGUUAUCUCAUUGGCUCAAAACUUGAUUUUUCCUAUCCUGGCAUUAGAGUUUGAAGAGGACAUAAGGAAAAAAAAAAAAAAAAACCUAGCUUCUGGGAAAAUAUUUGUCAUUCUUAACAUUUUCUAUCCCAGUAAUGGAAAGUUACCAAGACAAUUUCAAUAAAAAGUUAAACUUUGCAACUAAUCCCUAUGGUAAGCUGUUAAAAAGUACUCAUUUAAUUUUUCUAGACCCUCUUUCCAACAAAAUGAUAUCACCAAAUUGAAGUAGUAACUGCAAAUUUCUAUCAAUUUUAUUAUUUUGUAACAAAUAGGCAUCAUAAUGCAAAGGAAAUGCGACAUCUGCUCGGAAAGAAAAAUAGAUACUUUCAUAGAUACGCUGGACAUAAAUGUUUAAAAGUAAAAUAGAAAACAUUUAAAAGCAUGAUCUUAACUAGAGAGGAAGGAAAGCUAAAGAGAAAAGGGAAGGGCAAAAGAGAAGGGAGAAGACUUUCCUCCAUCAAGUUUUGAUGUCUUGACCUCUUGCACAAGCAGUAAUUACCUCACAGCCUCUAUUAUAAGGAUUUGCUCGUAUUGCAUGACAAUUGUAGUAAGAAGCUCCAGCCCUAUCACAGGGAACCAUGUCUCUCUUGAGUGUGUCAUAGCUAAUGUACUUUUUCUGCAUUGCCAGAACUCUUCUGUUGGUCUCCGAAUCCAUCUCCGGCUCUGUCAAGCUCAAGCACUCCCCAAUGCUCUUGGUGCAAACCCUUUUGGUCAUAACAUCCACUUCAUGGAAAUUGAGGUCCACAAAUGGUAGGCCAGUGCAAGUGUGGAACAGAAAAAGGGUCAGACAGAGGGAGAUCAUGGAAAUGAAUCUGGGUUGGGACAUUGUUGUGUUUAGCUGCCUGGUGUCUUGUUUUGUUUUAAGUGCGAGAUGCUUGGUUUGGUUGUUGGAGGGCUAUAAAUUGGGGAUAGGACAUAGCAGGUGUUACAACUAUAGUCAACUAUUUUAGGGCCAUCAUUACUGUCAGCAACCCACAAUCAGAGAUAUCAUUACAUCCCGGAAUUAGUAUACAGUCACUCAAUUUCAUUAAUUUUCAGACUGCUUAGUAUUCUUAACCACGCAUCAAUGGUGGAUUAGUCAACUGAUUAAUGAAUCUUUCUCCGUGAACAAUUUUUUUGUCUCUUACUAUUCAAUAAAAUAUACUCUAGUAUAUACCCUACUAUAAUAUUGCCUUUCUUUUUUCAUUUUCUCCUAAAAUUAUAAUUGUCUUCAUUUAAUAUUUUUCAUUACCUUUAAACUUGAUAUUUAAAAAUAAAUUUUAAUCUUAAUUACCUAUACAUUUAGAGAUCUUCAUAAAUAGUGUAGCAAAUUAUUCUUCAUCCGUUCCUGAAAUAUAUUUGAAUUUCUUCCCUAUUAGCAACACAUAAGAAAUACAAGAGUACCUUUUUUUUUUUGCAUGGUCUCAUAUCACAGUCAAAAGUAAAUUUCUUUCUAUAUGUAAAAUUCUUUUAAUAAUUUUUUUUCAUACACUCCAAAGAAUAAUCGUUUUAUGACUCAAAAAAUACCACACAAGAAAAUAAAAUACAUUGAAAUAUGGACAAAACAAAAAGACAAACCUAAAUUAAAAUAACCUAUAGAUCUAACUAAAUUAUUGAGGACAGAAAGAGGGGGAUGAAAGGAUUUUCACAAGAGAAAAACGACAGUUUUACCGCGCCAAAAAAGGUUACGGAGAAUACUGAAACAAAAAGAAAAGAAAAAAUGGAGAAAGGAUGAGAAAAAGAUAAAGUUAAAAUGAAAUAGUUAAUAACAACAAAACAUUUGAGUAAAAAUAUGAGAAAAUUCAAAAUAUGUUAUAACAAAAAAAGCGUAAUAGACCUUCCUUUUCUUUUUCUUUUUUUACAGAUUAUUGUUAUUACUAUUAUUUAACAAGAGAUUUAACCUUUUCUAGAUCAAUAUGUCGACAAAAAGAAUAACGGGAAGAAGUGGAAAUGAAGCAAGUAAACUGAACAAGCAAAGAGCAUCCGCAUUUACCUACUUAAUUUUGCUGAAGAUAAAAUGAUGCAUUUCGGCCAAAGUUACCUUAUUUUAGUUUAGAGUGUGUUUAUUUUCAAAAAUAAAAUAAGUAGCUAUAAACCAUGAAUGAAUUACACUGGCAUCUGAAAUUUACAGAUCAUGGAGCUGUACAUCUCAGAAAAACAUUCAACCAAUAACGAAAUAUGAAGCUAUAUGUGUUUUGAACUUUGAAGUAGGUAACAAAUUCUGGUGUGUUCCUGUCUCUUCAAAUAUAUAAUGGCCUAAGACAAUCCUCGUUAUCAACGUAAAAAGAGUACGAUUGAAAUGAAAAUACCAUCAUGAUGCAUCUUGUUCAUUUUAUACAGUAGCACGGCUCAGAAGGUUAAUUGGUUGCUGAUGUCACCACAACUUUCCAUCAUAUUAUGGAAAUGGAAGUAAGAGUUAAUUAGUGAUAGAAUUAUUAUUUGUAAUGUGGUGAAAGUGAAACGAGAAAGGAUGGAAUAGAGAGACCGAGUGCAGAAGUGAGGGGCCAUUUGAGUGGCAAUCAAAAUGCAGAAUAAAAAAGAAUGCAUUCCGCUACAUUGUAUUCCAAUUCAAACUUCUACUACCCAUCAAGGCAAUUAUGUUUACAGCAACAUAUCCAAAACAUUUCCAGAUGAGCGCCCUUGAUCUUGGUGAGCAACAUGACAUGCAUUUGCUUUGUGGGUGGGGUGUUCCCAAAACACAUCAUUUACUCUAACUGGACCACUUGGGGGAGGUGCCUCGUUUACAUUUCCAAUUUGCCAAAUUCUGGACAUGAAUUUCUCUUGACUUGUAAUGGAGAAGAUGCCAGAGUUAGAUUUAAAAGGCAGGAUAUAUAACUGUCACUGAUAUCAUCACAAUUUGGGGGUCUCAGGAGCUGUGGCUGUUUCCAUGUUAAAACUAAAAGAUGCUCCAGUUUGAACUGAGUGUACUACAUGACACCACCAAGUUCAUAUCCGAAAGUGUGAGUUUAUUGGAGAAAUCUAGAUGAGAAAUUCCAUUCCAAAACUGUCAUGAACCUGAGGCAAUCGCCUUUACUUGUUAUAUGCCAACAAAAGUGGGAUUGUGAAGAGCCUUUUGAAAGAAAGUGAGCAAAUGUUUCUGCCUCUCCUCCAUGGCAUCCAAUCGCUGGAGAAGAGUGCUUGCGGCAGAUUGGUUUAUCCGAUUUAUUAAACGACUUAAUUAUGUUUCAAAUUUAUAUCAUGGUUUCUUGUUAAUUUAUUCAACUCACUGAAGCGUGUUAGAAAAAUUACAUUUUUUUCUCCGUGAUUUUGACUUGGACUAUCAGUUCCCACUGUAACGUGGGGUCUUCAAAACCUAACUGCCAUUUCAAGAAAAGGAAAGGGCCAUAUGAAGGCCCAACUUCUCUCUCUCUCUCCCGCCAGCCCCAAGUUUUUUUAAUCAUUUUUUGUGUCAAGUUGUUUUUUGUCAACGAGUUUUUUUUUCUUUUUUCGGCAUUUGCUAUUUUUCCUUUCCUUUUCAAUUUGUUUUCUAAAAAUGUUCUCUUUUGAAAAAUACAUUUCCCUAUUAACAUGUAAGCAAUUUCUUCCUGGAUUCUUUGUUGGUUAGAAUUGGAUGUUAUUUUUAUUUUAACCAUCACAUUAUACAAUUUCUUAUCGAGUUGUCUUAGCAAUUACUUUGAUUAAAGUAUUCUUAUCCACACCACCACCCGACCCUUAAAGUCUAACCAUUCUCACAGUGGGAUUUUCAAGUUUUGUCAUUAUAUCUUUCAUUGUGGAUUUUCUAGAACCAAAUUUUAUAUAGCAUUAGACAAAAAGGUGUCAUUUGAUAUUAAGUUCUCUAUAUAUGCAAAGAGGAGCAAGUGUCCCAAAGAAAAAGGAGUGUCACGGUUGGAUCUUCAAGUUUUGUCACUAUGUCUUUAAUCACAAGUUUUUUCCUAAAAUUAUUAAAGGGGGAAUGUAUUUUUUUUUUUAAAAAAGAUGAUAUUUUUGGAAAACAAAAUGAAUAGAGAAGUGUGUGAGAAGAGUGGGAGAGUGGAAAUAGUAACUUUCUAUUCUAUUUUAUUUUAUUAAAACCCCAAGUUUUUGAGCCAUCAGGUACAACCUCCUCUUUUUCGGCCUCAACAAUUAGAGAAAUUAUUAUAUGAUUGUUGUUGUGUUAUUGGUUUGGUUUUGAUUUUUGAAGGUUUUGUCAUGUCUCGAACCUAAGACCAUGAAUAUGGUGUUGCAACAAACAAAUUGCUACCCUUAGUUUUUACGCAUUCAUUUCCAUAUAUCUCAUUAGCAUCACCUUAUUGAUAAUUUUGUAGUUAUAAAUUUUUUACUUCAUGAUGCACUUGUUUAGUAAAAUUCUAUCUUUGUAAAAGUAUAUUAUAAUCAUGAAAUUUCCUUCAAACAAUAUAUAAAUGACAUAUGAAAAGUUUUAUUUGAUUACAUCGAAUCAUGAAUUGGUAAAUUGUAUCAUUUUGGAAGAGGAAACUCAAGUGUUUAAAAUACACGUCUUAAUAUAAUAAUGAGGACACAAAGAAUUAUUGACCAUAAUCUGCAAAGUCCAUGGCCCAAAAGGUUAAAUGUUGAGUUGUUACGUGUUACUCAUUUCAGUCAUUUGUUCACUAUUGAAAAUACCAUUUUUACUAGCGUUCAUCCUGAACUAAGAUUGGACUCUUCAUGAAAUUUAUAGUUACAUUACUUAUAACUUUCUUAUUCGUAGAGAAAGUUUAUUCGAAAUUCUCUUCUAUUCCAAAGCCUAAUAUUUGAUUGAAGCUCUUAUUUGAUUUAAUCAUUAAUAUCAUUAUUAUUUCUGAUUACAUUUUUCCUCCAAUAGUGUAUUCUUAUACAAUAUAUAAAUUAUCAUCCUUUGUCCACUUUUCACUAUACAAACAAAUAAAAUAAGUUAUUUGAUUCUAAACGUUCAUUUAAUUUCUUUGAAAUAAAAUAUUUGUAAAUUUUAUCAUUCUUGAUAUAUAAAACCCACCUAUAAUGUAUGAUUAUUUAAAUGAGUUGUUUAUAUUUAAAAUUUACAUAUCUUAUAAUAUCAUAUAAAUUUAAGAAUUUUGUACAAAAAUUUAUUCCAAUAUGAAAAUUACUAAAGUUUUUGUUUAAAUUAAUUUCUCAUUGUAUUUAUGCUAAUUGUUGGUUUGGAAAGUAUUUUUUAUUGAUAAAAAAUAGUUAAACAACAUUGUAUAAGAAAUGCCAUAUCAUAUAUUCUAUCGACAAUUUUUUGUUAAAUGUAUCUUAUUUGCAAGCAACUCUAUAAGUAACCACAUUGUAAUACUCUAUAAGCAACCAUGUAGGACUAUUAGAAAUGGCGUCCAAGCGUGACAUGAUUAAGAAUUAAACGGUAACAAUUGUACUUAUAGAAGUUGAUUUAAGAAUGUUUUUAAAUAUAACAAAUAAGGAUUAAAUAAAAAUAAAAAUAUAAGUUAACAAUCUAGGUAUAACUAUUGGAGAUGACAUGCAUGGUGAGAAGAGAAGUCGAAACAAAUAAGCGAUGGAAGAGGCACGUAUUGGCGCCGACAAGGUAACGGACGUUUGCAAUUCCGUGAGUCUUUAAAUUCAAAAAUGAUGAGAAUCAGAGGCUAAGCUUCAAUAAUGGAAAAGUGGUGCGUGAUCUCUCCAAGUUGCUACGAUAAUCAUCAUCUCUGCUUUGCAAUUUUCUUGUCCUUUCUCUUCUCCUCUUUGCUGUUAUCCUUUCAUGGUCCCAACCUCCCUUUCUUAGUGAAGCCAUCCAAGACCAUAAGUGUCACAGAUUCCUGCAUUGGCCGCUAUGUUUACAUUCACCAACUCCCCUCCCGCUUCAACAAUUACUUUCUUAAGAAUUGCCAGUUCCUUACUAGAGGCACUGACAAACCCAACAUGUGUCCUUACAUGCUUAACAUGGGUUUAGGCCCUCAGAUUCCUAACUCUCAAGGUCUUUUCUCCAACAACACUUGCUAUGCCACCAACCAGUUCUUGUUGGAGGUUAUUUUUCACAACAGGAUGAGCCAAUACGCCUGCUUGACCAACGAUUCCUCCCUCGCCUCUGCCAUUUUUGUCCCCUUCUAUGCUGGUCUUGAUGUUAGCCGUUUCCUUUGGCUCUCUAAUCUUACCGAGAGAGAUUCCUCUGGUCGUGAUCUUCUUCAAUGGCUUGCAAAAAGACCCGAGUGGAAGAAAAUGCGGGGUAGAGACCAUUUCCUUGUUUCAGGGAGGAUUGCUUGGGAUUUCAGGAGACAAUACGAUGAUGAGUCCUAUUGGGGUAGUAAGUUCAGGUUUCUACCCGAAUCCAUGAACAUGUCCAUGUUAGCAGUUGAAGCAAGUUCGUGGAAUAAUGACUAUGCAAUACCCUACCCAACUUCUUUCCACCCAUCAGAGGACACUCAUGUUUUCCAGUGGCAGAGAAAAAUCAGACAUCAAAAGCGGCCAUACUUGUUCACUUUCACGGGAGCUCCAAGGCCUGAGCUUGAAGGUUCUAUCAGGGGUAAGAUUAUAGACCAGUGUCGAGCUUCGAGUGUUUGCAAAUUCGUUGAUUGCAGCUAUGGUGUUCAGAGAUGUGACGACCCCAUCAGUGUUAUAAAGGUGUUUGGAAGUUCUGUGUUCUGUUUGCAGCCUCCGGGUGACUCAUACACCAGAAGGUCCAUUUUUGAUUCCAUGUUGGCUGGUUGUGUUCCCGUUUUCUUUCAUCCAGGUACUGCUUAUUCGCAGUACAAGUGGCAUUUACCGAAGAAUAGGACUAAGUACUCUGUGUAUAUACCAGUGAAGGAUGUAAAACAAUGGAAUGUCAAUGUGGAGCAGGUGUUGCGGGGAAUUCCGGAGGGUGAGGUGUUUGCAAUGAGAGAGGAGGUCAUAAAGCUGGUUCCAAAUAUUAUCUAUGCAGAUCCUAGGUCAAAGUUAGAUUGCUUUACAGAUGCGUUUGAUUUAGCAGUAAAAGGAAUGGUUGAAAGGAUAGAGAAGGUGAGGGAAGAAAUGAGGAGUGGGAGAGAUCCUAGCAUUGGUUUUGCAGAUGAAGACCAUUAUAAGUAUACAUUUUCACAAAAUUAAAGCUAAAAGGAAGACAUAUCAUGUUAUAGUGCAAUAUCGUUACCUUCAGAGAAUCCCUUGUGACACUUUUAUUUUUAUUUUUUUGGUGUUCUUGCUUUUCUGGUUUACUUUUGAUUUUGGUUUGUUCUUGGCCUACAAAGAAGUGAAGAAAAAUGUUUGUAACUUGUGAAAAGAAAGACAGACAAGCAACAAAAGUAGUAUGGUCUGAUGCCAUCAAACCAAGCAAAUAACAGUCCUGGGGAUGGCUAGUUAAUUUUAUUAUUAUCUUAAAACUGAUUGAGUUGCUAGAAUUUGUUUGGCGUGCCGACAGUGUAACUGGUAUUGAAAGACAUGGGCAUGGGAUGCAUGUGAGGUUGAUGAAAUUUCCAGUUAUAACGUUUAGACAUAGUCACAGUCAGAGUCAUAAAAGAAGUAGACCCCAUUUGAUUCCAAGCCCCGUAUCACCGCCUGCAAUCAAGGUCCCAUUCCACCAUUAAUUGACUCAAUAGUCUUUUUUUUCUAUAAAGGGUCACGCAGUCCAAUUUCCUUUCCGAAAACAAUGUCACCUAGUCAAAGUUACUCCAUUCACUCCUUCCGCUUAACAAAAGUAAGAAAGAGGAAUCAGAUGUAUUAUUAAUUUCAUUUUUAUAUUAUUUAAUUUACUUUUUAAUUUUUUUAUAAAUAAAUCAAUUUGAUUUUUAUUUUUUUAAAUAAUUCAAUCUGGUGCUCAAGUCUUUCAAAUCUUGGGAUCAAAUUGAUUCUUUUUAAGAAUUUGAGAAGUAAAUUUAACCUUUUAAAAUUUUGAAGAUCAAAUUGAUUCAUUUUUAAGAAUUUGAAAAUCAAAUGGAACUUUUUAAAAAUUUAGGGAUUAAAUUGAUAAUUAAGACUUUUAAUUUCAAUAAAUAUAAUUUAGUUUUAGUUUUUCAUUUUAAAAAUUUUUGCUUUUACAAAUUCAAAUUUUAAAAUAUUCUUUAUUUUAUUAAUAAUAUUAACAAAUAAACAUUUUAUCAUCUUAUGACAUAUAUUGCCUUAAAAUGAUUGUAGAUAAUAAUUACCAAGAACUUUAGCCUGUAUUUAUUUUGUUUUACAUAAUUACAAUUUAUAACUAAUUAAAUAUUGGUGAUAUAUAAAUUAUAUUAUAGUUAAAAUUCAUAAUAAAUAAAUAUUUUAAUAUAAAAUUAUAUCUUAGAUUUAUAAUAAAUAUUUUAAAUUAUAAAUUAUAUCAAAAUAUUAUUAUAAAAAUGUUUUGUUAUAUAGGCAAAUGUAUUAACUCUUUAUUGAGUGAACAUAAAUUUUGCAAUAAUUUCUUCCUCGAUUGCAACAUGUCUUUUAUUGCCUCUAUUAUAAACAUCAGUAUUCAGAAUUAUUCACUCACCAAUGAAAAUGUGUGAGUUAUAAAAUGUACCUCUUAUUUCUUCUUUCUUUUUUUUUUUUAUAGCAAAUGUGCCUCUUACUUAAAAUUAUAAAAUAAACGCAUAAAUUAUUACUUCAAAAUAUUACAAAAAUCAAAGUCAUCAAGACUGUUAUUUAUUCUAUAUUGGUUCGAAAUUAAAUAUCAUUAUCAUUUAAUGUAAUGCAAUGACUUUUAUAUAGGACAAAAAACUUACAAAACAAAUAUUUAUUGUCAUAGUUAAAUGUUCUAAUUGAUCAAUAUCUGAUAAUUAAAACUGUCAAAAAACUAUAAAACAACAUAUAUUGUCAUAAUGAAAUUUUGUAAUUGGAAAAUGAAUAUCAAUAUCAGGUCAUUAUAAUUUAACGACAAAAUUUAUGGAAAAAAACUAAUAAAAAGAAAAUUAAAAGAAUCAGAAACACAAAACCAAUUUUACAAACGUUUUUAAGUUCACGUGGAGCAGCCCGACCCAAAAUUCAUUUAUGAGCUUUGAAAACAUUCUCAAAGCCCAAAAGGCAAAGACAAACUCUGGACUUCGGAGGAAAAAUAGUUGUUUAAAAACCAGAGAAAAAGGAGAGUGAAAAAAAAAAAAAAAACGUUAGCGAGAGGAGGAAGAAGUGUGAAAAAAUGGCGGCGGCUGCGAACUCUGAGGUCUCAACGAGUGACUCCUUGUUCUUCACUUUCACCUCAAUUCAAUCCUUUUAACUUAUUUUGCUGUGGCAGGGCAAUGCUCAGAAACCGAGUUCGGAAACGUUUCAGUUAUUCUCUUCCUCCGCUUCCGCCUUCGGAAUCUUCGACGAUGCUGCGCAACAAGUUCCUCCUAUACCUCCUCCUCCCUGCGUUGAAGUCCUCGCUUCUGAGGUAUUAUUCCUUCGCCAUUCAUCAUUCUUCUUUCAAACACUGCCGUUUUCAAUAUUCCUUCCUAAUUAGGUUCCUUCAUCCCUCAAACACAACGUGGACUCUGUAAAUUUAGAUGGAGUUAUUUUGUUAAAGGUAAUGCUUCUUUCUUUGUCUUCGAAUUUUUUCAUUAUUUGAAUUGAGAUUAUUGUUUAGUUUUAUCCUUUAUAUUGUUUUUAUGGACAACAAUUCUCAGGGGCGGGUGAAUACCCAGCAAGUUUUUGGUUUGUCCAACUCCGAUUUAGUUCCCGGGAAAUAUGAAGGUGCUGCCAUUUUCUGUUUAUUCACCCAUUCCCAUCUCGUUCAUGACUAAAUCAGUUGCUGCAACUUUGGUUUCCUUUGGUCUAGGAGGACUUAAGCUGUGGGAAGGUUCACUUGAUCUAAUUAAAGCCCUUCGUUCAGAUAUAAAAAAUGGGCUUAUCUCAUUUGCUGGGAAGCGAGUAUUAGAGGUGGGCCUCUCUUUUUCCUGCUGAUUUUGUAUUUGUCUGUAUGAUUGACUGAUAAAUGACGGGCUGUUUAGUAGUAUAACUUAUUGGAAUUGGGUUUGAGUAGAAAAUCUAAAUUCAUACAUGGAAGCACAGUAGCUAGUAUGGAUAGAUGUAGUUUAUAUAUAGUGGUAUGAGGACAAAUGUUCUUUUUAUACCGGAGAUAAAAUUGCAUUCAGAACUUGCACAGCCAAAGGUGUGCAAUUGUUGAUAUAGCUGUUAGAGUGGAAUGUCGGGCAUAAUUGUUCACAUAGAAAGAAGAUACACAUUGCAUGAACCACGUGCCUGCAUCUUGCACAGCACAUUUGAAACGGUUUCUUAUCAAUAUUUUCCACUACACUUAACAUGGACAUUAACAUCACCAAUGUGUGUGGGUCUUCUUACCUGCUCCAUAGCACGUCAGUUGAUAGAAAAGUCAUAUUCAAAGGAUCCUGAUCUUGCAUUUACUGAAACUGAGACACACAUACACACACACACAUAUAUAUAUAAAUUGUAGUAGAAAAGCUGUCCGUCUAUCUCAGUUUCAAGCUUUCAAUAUUUGAUUUUCAGGUAGGAUGUGGUCAUGGACUGCCCGGAAUCUUUGCAUUUCUUGAGGUGAAACUAUGGUUCAUUGGCUUUGCUUUAGAUCCUUAACUUUGAAAUAUAUAAUAAUGUGCUUAUUAUGGUUGCUUUAGGGGGCAGCUGCUGUACAUUUUCAAGACUUCAAUGCUGAGGUCCUACGUUGCCUCACAAUUCCUAAUUUAAAAGCAAAUCUUUCUGGAGAAUCUCAACCAUCAUCAUCCAACUCGACAAUUUGUGACGAGGCAGAAGUUCGCUUUUUUGCUGGCGACUGGAGUGGAAUUGAUAAACUGCUCCCUCAUGUUACUACAGAUGCAAAACAUAAUCAAGGUGAUGGUUAUGACUUUAUUCUUAUGGCAGAGACAGUUUACUCAAUCAACAGUCUCCAAAAUCUCUAUAAUCUUAUCAAGAAGGUAUUUUUUUGUUCAUAGACAAGAGCAAAAUUUUAUUUCUAUGUUGAUUCAUUGCAUUUUAAAUUAGUACAUUUAUCUGUGUAUUAUAAUGUAUAUUUUUAAUUAUAAAAAUAUUGGUUUGCUUAUCUAUUGAAGUGUUUAAUACACAGUGCUUGCAACAUCCUGAUGGAGUAGUGUAUAUGGCAGCAAAGAAGUAUUAUUUUGGAGUAGGUGGUGGAACUCGGCGGUUUCUGUCUGUGGUAGAGAAGGAUGGUGAGCUAGUACUGACAUAUGCAAUUAUAUUCAUGCUGGAUUGUUAUUCUGAUUCGCUGUAUGUUAUGUGCUUAGAAGUUGCAUAAUAAAAAGUGAUACCCUUGAUAUGCAAACAACUUUGUAGUAAUAACAUAAACAUACUGAUCCUUUUAACAUAUUUGUUCUCCACUAUAAGCUAUUGACACACACACACACAACGAUAAUUGUCCUACCUGUUAGCUGGAACCUUAAUUACAGAACCAUGGUGAGCUAGUACUGACAUAUGCAAUUAUAUUCAUGCUGGAUUGUUAUUCUGAUUCGCUGUAUGUUAUGUGCUUAGAAGUUGCAUAAUAAAAAGUGAUACCCUUGAUAUGCAAACAACUUUGUAGUAAUAACAUAAACAUACUGAUCCUUUUAACAUAUUUGUUCUCCACUAUAAGCUAUUGACACACACACACACAACAAUAAUUGUCCUACCUGUUAGCUGGAACCUUAAUUACAGAACCAUGUGUUCCAUGCCAGAUGGGAGUCAUAAAAUGCUUGGUCACGUUUAUGCAAUGUGAACUAUAAAGAAUAUAAUUUCAUCCUUAUGAAAUUUGAUGCCAGUUUAUUUUUCUUUUCUUUUACCAGACAAUGUACUGUUCUCAUGGUAUCAUAAUUGCCCUUUAUUUGUACAGGUGUCAUGACUAGUAGCCUGGUUGCUGAAAUCACAGAUGGUUCAUCUAAUGUUCGUGAAGUAUGGAAGCUUGCAUACAAGUAGUAUUAGUAUUUUCUUCCUUCACCAGUCAAACUAUCCUCGGUUUAUUUGCUCGUGAUUGCCCAUGCAUGAAAAGGGGGCUGUUGGAAGGGUGGCGAUGGGUUGAUCAUUCAUGUCGGAUGAGUUUUGGUAAUGGUUGUAGAAACCGUAUGGUCAGGAGAGAAUCUUGCCCCUCAUUUCAAGCUAUACUUCUCUCUCUGCUUAUAGUGGGCUUGGUUUUCUUGGUCAAAUGUAUUUUCUAGUUGGUAAUGCAAAUAUAUAUAAUUUUCUCAUUUGUAUUUAUUUUGAUUUGAUUCCCAGUAGGAUAAUGUUUUGUUGUUGUUGUUGUUGUGGUACCUAUUUUGAUUGGAUGUAAUGCAUUGCUAGAGCUAAACCCCGUAGCAGAUAUUAAGGAAUCAAAGAAUGAUCAUGAAAUGAGAGAAGUAACAGGAAAUUUGUCCUAUAAUUUUAAAUUCCAAAGCUCCGAUAACAACAGAAAGAUUAUAAGUGAAUCCAAGGGUUUUUAUAUGAAGCUGCAGAAAAGAAAAAGUCAGAACUGCAACUGACAACAGACAGAUUAUAUGUGAAUUCAACAAUCUUAAAAGAUAUAGUUGAUAGGAUGGGCUAGAGAGACAAAUAGGUGGCUUUUAAAGAGUAGGUAAUUUAGAUGUCAUCCUUUUGAUAUUAGUUAGUUUUAUUUUAAUUUCAAAAGGAUAAUUAUCUAAAUUAUCUGCUCUUUAAAAGCUACCUAUUUGGGCCUCUCUAGGCCCAUCCUAUCAUUAGUCAAGAGUCAGACCCCUACAACAUAAUAUUUGGAGCAGCCUCUGUUUGGAGGGUUUGAUGGGGGAGGAAGACACCCUUCACUUUUGCUGUAAGCAUCACCGAGGGCGCCACCAUUACAUACUGCUUUAUCUCUCUCGAGAGCCACUUUGGAAAUGUACUCCUCCAGAAACCUUUGGCUUAUUUCUGAUUCCAUCAGUAGCUCAUCUUGAUUGCAUUCGGCUAUGGAACCAUUCUGUGUUUGAAUGUCUUGUCACUCUUUCCUAAUUUAAUUGUGAGACUCAUUAAAAUUUGUAAUUUUUAGUAAAUUGUAGUCGUAAAAAGAAUAUUAAGAUGAGAGUAUUAGAAAGAAUGAUCCUUAAGUUCUUCGAUUUUAUCACGUUAUGAGGUGUAAUUGUAGGUAUCGUUUACCAAAUUACUACUAUAAACAAGGAUUUGAAGGCUCGGGGCACAUUUUCCACUUAUCUUUAUCAGUCAACGAAGUUUAAAUACAAUUAAAUGCUUAUUCUUUUCGAUUUCUUCUCAGUAAUAAUGAAACGAGGACAAAACUUCAAUCCCAUUCAUGUCAAUAUCAAACCAACUUAUUCCACACUGCACUCAAUGAACAUUCGCCAAGAUUGCUACUAAUAUUGAUUUUUAAUUAGUGUGUUUCCAAAUUAUUUUUUUCCUCUCUUCAUUUUUUAUACUUACAAAUAAUAUUAUAAGUUUGAAGAUGACAUUUCAUAGCACAGAAAAAUUCUAACAUGGCAAUAAUUAAUGCAUAACCGUAGACAGAAAUUAGUACAUGUUCAGCUUCAAGGAUCAUCCAAAAAAUAAAGUUAUGCAAUACUUAUAUAAUUCACCUAGCUGGCGCAAAGAAAAAGAACAUGCUGUUAGAACUUUUAAAUUGUCUACAAAUUAUAGUAGUAGGAUAAGUACUGUUGUUAAAUAGUAAUAUCGCUUAUUUCUCUCCCCCUUCUCUAAUUGGUUUUUAUCUGGAUUAAACGGGCAUGGACCAAUUUGUUCACACACGUAUUAAUAAGUUGAUUGUAACCACAAAGGUAGAAAUACAACACUAGACAAAGAGGUUUCUAAGAUGAGCUUAAUAUAUUUAUGCAAUUGCAAACUGUCUUCAAAAAGUUGAAGAUUCACAAGAGCAUUAUUUAUAGCAUAGUAGCUCAUUACAACCAUAUGACAGAUCCGUUUAUUAAAGGGAAAUAAUGACACGUAUGUUUAAAUCCAUAUAUCUGAAGUACAGUCACCACCAGGAUAUCUCAUCUCAUGGGCAAGAGAAGGACCAUCAGGCUCAGUUCCAAAGUCCACAAAGAAGUUGGGGUUGAUUUUCAGUCCACCUUUCUCAGUAUCAACAUCAAUCUGUAUUAUGUGGGAGCCUUUCUGGACAAGCUCUGGAUAAAAUUGUUUGUCCCAAGUACUAAAUAGUGAGUUGGUAGCAUAGAGCCGCUUCCCAUCUAAACUCAAUUGAAUCAUCUGAGGGCCCCCUCUCAACUUGUUUCCCUGAAAAAGGAAUGUUAACAUCAGCCACUGACGAGAUAGAUACCCUUGAAUGUCAAAAGAAUAAAUCCAUGCAUCAGAUAUAAUAAUAUUGGUGUUCCAAUAAAACAAGAGUCUGCAUGCAUACGUGGGCAGAUGCCAUUGCUCAGUUGGACAUAUUGACUAACUACAUGAAGACAAUACAAAAGAUGAACAUGAAGUGGCUGCUGAACUACCUUUGCAUGUUUACAAACUGAGUAAAAUUUUGAUAAACAGAAUCAAAACUAGAGUGCAAGUGUAGUCCUAUGGUUGUCAAUCAAAAUGUGUAGAAGAAUCAAUCAAUUCACUUGGCAUGCUUUGCUAAGAAAUCAUUCGUGUAGGCAUAUUAAGUGUAAUUUUGCUCUUUAAAGUCAAUGACUACUAAGCAUUAUUAUUAGAAGUAACAUUUCACUCCCCUCCAUUUUCAAUUCACUCUACUGAGCCAAAAACCUUGACUUCUAUUUUGACGAAUUUGUUUGUAUUUUUCCAAUAACUAAUUAAUUUAUGACAUGUAUUAUGCAAUAAGUUACUGUAGGGAACUUCAAAUUGCAAUAACCUGAAUCUCUGGAACUUCAGCUUGCCAUGUUUCACCAUCAUCAGUUAUAGCUACUACAGGGCUUCCUUUCUGGAUAAGUCCACCAACCCAUACUUGUCCAGUCAGUUUAGGAUUUUUAACGUCCUCGAUGUUAUACUGCCUUAUAUCCCCAUGAAGCCAGUUUACAAAAUACAGAAACCGAUCAUCAAGAGAAAUCAGAAAAUCAGUUAUAAGCCCAGGCAUUUCAGGAAGAAUCCAGUUUUGCACUUUCAAUGGUUUCACUGAUAUGGCAACCUGCAAAAGUAAGCUUAGUCUAUAAGUAUCAUUGAUAUAUACAUACACCUUGGUUGAAGUACAUAUACUGACCAAAACAGAAUAGAUAUUAAAUAUCCUUUUGAUAUACCUCAUGGCUCCAUGAUUCAUCUUGGGUCUUAAAAAAUCGUAUCAUGUUACUUGUCAAUGCACUGCCGACAAAACCUGUAUCUUUAGCAGGAUCAUGCAAAAACCUUAUCUGCAUUUAGGGUACAUCAGUUAUAAAAUAUUGCAAUUUUGCAAAUUGGUUCACAAUUACCACAAGCGAGAGGAAAGGGGGAAAGUACUUAGUACAGUCAUAGUUAAAUCACACGGGUAAUAAACAGGCUUCAAAUACACAAAGUUAAAAGGAUAAAAUAAAUGCAUCUUAAACAUCUACCCGGAUUAUGUUAACAACUUACCUCUAAGGGUAUAAGCCCUGAAUCACCAAGGUCCAUUGUUUGUCUCAGUUCGCCCCCAGGCCAGCUAUAUACAUGGAGAUGCCUCCCGUAUAAUCCAUCAGAGAGAUGCUGUAAGUUAAAACCUUUUGUAAAAGCACUAGGAGCACCCCAUGAUGUGCUAAUCAUGGUAUUGUGACGUGGUUGGUACCAAAAGUCAUACCCAAAUAGUGGGCUGUGACCCGGUUUCUCCCACCUAAUCAAUGUGAAGUAGGAUACAAUAUAAUAUAAUUAGAAAAUUAGAUAUCGAAAUACUAACUACGUAAGUAGUUUCAAAUAGAAUUGUUUCUGGCCAAUGAUGUAACACGUGUAAUGUUCAACGCACAAGCAAUUAUUAAACGAUUCUGUGUUAACAGUUUUACAAAACUCUGGCUUCUAGAUGAGUACCUUCCCUUCACAUUAAACUCAGAAUCAAGAAGAAGAAAUCCAUUUCCUGCAGCAUUUCCAUCUUUAUCUCCAAGACACGAGAUCAUUAUAUCACCAGAAGCAAGGCAGUGAGAUGUGUGUGGAUAAGCUAAUCCAGUCUUCUGUAUGAUAUCGGCAGGCUCGACAACUUUGUGCAAAGAUGGAGCCCUUGGAUUUGUUUUCACAUCAACCACAUAUACUCGACCUGAUCUGAUAUAUGAUAAAAUAAAAUAAAAUAAAAAAGUAGACUGUAUUAGGUAAUUUAAAAAUGGAGGAAAGAAAAAAAAAAGUAACUAGAAUAAAGUUGAUAGAUAUCUUUCUUUAGAGUUCUUGCAAUACACAAAGUGGGCAAAACAUAUAUUUGUUAGGGGAAAAUGGAGAAGACAGAAAAAAAAUCACCAUGACAGGGGCACAAGUAAGAUUUUGGCCAGCUUGUUGUAACAUUAUUAUUCUUUUGACACAUUCUUUGAUGUUUCCAAGUUUUUCGGUUUCAUAUUGAUAUAUUAACCCGUGUGAUUAUAUAUACUCUCUUUCUGAUAAACUUUAUAAAAGUAUGAAUGAAAUGUCCUUUUAGAUUUAUAUAGUUGAGUUGAGGGAAGGUAAGGAUUACACACACGAGUGCAGGUACGAUGAGAAAUCGUCGGUCUGCUGAGGGGUCUCCAUGGCAAGAGCUGCAUGAAUUCCAGCCUGUGUGAUGCAAUUCGUCACCUAAAUAAGGAACAGGAAGCCUAUGGAUGACUUUGGAAUAAGUUGGAGAGUUUGGAUCCACAUCCACUGUCGCCAAAUAGUCUGGCUUCUCUAUUCCGGUCCCUGUAUUGUAUUCAAUCAUUAAUCAACAACUAAAUCACAAAGUAGCACACUUAAAGAAAUUACCCAAAGUUCCAACUGAUUAAUAUUAAUAUAUUAUAAUCAUAAAAGAUAUAUAUAUGAAACUCUGAGCUAGCGAAUAAUUUAAUUAACUGACCAAAGUUCAGUUCAGUCCACUACUAUAGUACAAAAAAAAAAAAGAAGGAUAUUUGACCAUGUGAUAUGUGAUAAACUAAAGUGCGAAUGUUCCAGAGAUUCAGAAGUAAGGAAAAAGAAAAGAUGUAGAGAGGUAGUACCUGUGUAGACAGAGGUUACAUAAAUGAGAGACUCUCUGGGACCAGAAAUGGCUUCCAGUGGGGAAGCAUAGCCUGGCCCUGAUUUGCAACAUCCAUGACCAUUACUACUCACCUUCCCUUCUCCCACCGUACUCAUUCUCUCUGUCUCUGUGAGAUUCAGGACCUUGGCCUUUUUAACUUUUAAGAAGAUGAUGAAUGAUUCAGAUAGGAUUGCAGUAGUGAGAACAUUUUGAUAUGUAUUGAGUCAGCAAUAUGAUCUUGGUACGUAUUCGUAUAGAAUCAUGUCCAGGUUGGAUGUAUCACAAAUCUCCAUAACGCCUCACCUUGGGCCGUUCAUCUCUUGACACCUGUCUCUUUCUUAUUAUCUUGUUUCUUACUUUAGACUUUUCGCGCUGUCAGGAUUGUGUGAUCCGGUUAACCUUUUGCUUGGAAAGAUCCUGUUAUUGAUAUAUAUUUCUUUUAAACAGUUAUUGAUAAGUUGUUUUAAAAAAGAGAAAAAGAGUUAUAUAUAUUGUAAAAAAAUUUACACAAACAUUCAAUCAAUUAUAACUUAAAUUUAUUGAUUUUAAAAACAUUUAUCUUAAAAUAAUUUAAAUGAUAAUUUGUAUGGUUGGAUGAUAAUACAUAGACAUUCAACUCUUAAAAAAAUAUUAAAAUUAGAACUAAUGAUAUUAAAAAUAUAGAUUUAAAAAACUCAAUUUUGAUAUUAAAAGUAUAAGAGAAUGUAUUAGAUGAAUGUUAAAAACUUAUUUGAAUAUUAAAGAUAAAAUAAAUAUUUAGAAUUACUUUUAAUAUUCAGUUUAAGUUAAUAUUAAAAAUAUAAGAGAAUAUAUAUUUUACAUAUUAAGAUUGUAUUUGAAUUUUGAAAAUAAAAUAUAUAUUUUUUAAUAUUCAGUUACAUUUAAACGGUUCAUUUGAUAUUUAAAGGACAUAAAGAUAUAUCAAAUGCGUGUUAAGAAAAUGAAGUCCACCAACUUCUUGAGAAAAGAGUAUUUAUAUUAGAAUGAAUGCAUGGAAGAGUAAUGCAAUGAGAGUCUUAUCGUAUAUAUAUAUAUAUAUAUUAAUAAACAUAAUAAAUAUUUACUACGUUCAAUGUUUAUAAUAAUAUUUAUUAAAUAUACUCUCUCAAUCUCAUUUUACAAAAUCCUUUUAACUCAUUUAUAUCUUUUAAGAGACUGAUUACUUUAAUUAAUAAUAUUAAAUUUGUAAAUAAUUUGUAAUGUUAUUUUCAAAUUAUCCUUAAUUUUUAAAAAUAAAUUAUCUUUCUCUCACAUAAUUGUUUCAAACCUAAUUGAUACAUAUUCUCUCUGAUCUUAGUAAAAGCGAAGAGAGUUUCUAUAGGAUUUGAUUUUUAUUAGCUAAAAAAAUUGUUAAUUAAUUAAGUCUCUUAAAAAAGAACAAGUUUUUUUGGAAAAAAAAGUCUUAUAAAAAGUAAUUGUGGGAAUAUUUAUUAAAAUAUGUAUAUUUAAUAUUAAAUGUAAUUAAUAAUAUAUAAGUAUUUAUAAAAUACUUUGAUACUAAAAAAUACCGUAAUAAAUAUAUUUAACAUUUGUCUAUAAAGCAAGGGCACCAAAUUAAAAUUUAGUAUUAAAAUUACAUAAUCAUGAAAUUCAAAAUAAUUAAAAUUAAAUAAUUAUAAAACUUGACACCAGAUCACACAUGUCAAAUUAACCAUUAUGUUAGAUGAUGUUAUGUUGAUUAUCAUAUAUAAGUGUCAAGUCAUGUGAUAUCAAUUCAUUUGUUAUAUUAGUAAAUAUUGAUCGAUAAAAAGAUUAAAAUUAUAUAUUUAUGAAUGUAACACUUAAAGAAUAAAAAAUUAUCAUUUAAUAUUAUUAGAACAUGAAGAUUUAAAAUUAUACAUUUAUGAUAUUUAAAAACUUUAUUAUUUUUGUUUUGGUAUAUAAUAUUUGUUUUUUCUUUUGCAUCAUCAUCAAAGUUAAUUUGUAAGUAUUCAUAAUUCACUUUUUUUUAUCUUACAUUACUUUUUAUCUCAUUCAUUUAAGUUUUUAAAUUUAAGAAAUAAUAAUAUUGUAUAAUAGUAUAACUAUAUAGUCCAUACGUAUUAUUAUUUGUAAUUUUCAGGUUACAUAUGCGAAUAUCUGGAUCACGGACUAAUUUACAUAAUGAGAAUACCAACUUCAGAGAACUAAAGUCAUACAUUUAUAAUACAAGAGGAGUUGAAUUGCAAUUAAAUCUAACUCUUUUAGUUAUUCAAUGAAAAAAUUAAAGUAACUUUCAUAUGACGGUCUAUUAUUAGAGUACAAUCCCUUGCACUUUGUUUUGUAAACAAAUUUUGCUUAUAAAAAGCAUACUUCUUCUCUGGCACUUAUGUUACUCUUAUUAGUUAUUGACAGAUAUUUAAAUACAUUUAUACAAUUUUAUUAUUUCCUUAGUUGCAGAUUGAACUUAAGACGUUAAAUUCAAUCCUUGUCUCUUAUCAUUGAAAACAUCAUAAAGACGACUAGUUUAAUUUAAUGAAGUUCUUUGACGAUGUAUACUCAUUAGAAAGAUAAGGAUGAAAUAAUAAUUACUAUGAUAGGACGAGAGCUGUUUGAUAUGAUUCUGUUCAAAAUAAGAAAGUUAAGCCUUUUUUUAUCCACAAAUAUUAAAUUAUUAAAACGAUAAUUUUUGUUAGCAAAAAGGAGAUUGAACUCAUGGUAUUUUUCUUCUUCGGCUUUCUCCUAAACUAUUCAAGAUAAGAAAUAAGAUAAUAACAUAAAAACUAAUUAGUUUUUUAUUCGACCAAGAAGAAAACAUGUUGGGUUGAAUUGUAGUGUCGUGUCGAGAUGGGCUUCACGAAAGAUUUUUCAAAGCAAACAGACAACAAUUGAAAUGUACGUGUAACUGUAUGAAUACUUAGGAUAGUUGGAUUUGAUAUCGCAAAUGUCUUGAGUCAGUUAAGUGGAUAUGUAUUGAGAUAGAAUUUGGUGGUUUGAAUUUUAAUUAAGCGAGUUCAAAGGUAAUUUUGUCCUUAAAAUAAUAAAUUUUCUUUUUUACGUUAUGCAUUGUAAUUUGAAAAUGUCUAUUUUUAAUAUAUAACUGAAAUUGUGUAUUAAAUUUCACAAUUAAAUAUUUUUUUAUCAAUUAUCUUGACAUACUCAAAGGCUUUAAUGCUCAAGAAAAGUGUAAUUUGUUCAGAGUAUAAAUUUCACACGUUUAUUAUAAUUUUUUUGUGUUCGACUAUAAAUUUUUAAGAGUAUGUUUAUGUAAAAGAUUUAAUAAAUUAUUUUGUAUCAUAAUCAACUUCUAUGGCUGUUAGUACCAACUUAAUGGAUGCUAGUAUAUGUUAAAUUUUUUUAUUUAUUCUCUUUAAUGAUUUAAUUAUUUUAAAAUACUAAAUAUUUAAAUAUAAAUUAAAAAAUAGAUUAUACAUUGAUGGGAUAAAGUAAUUUUACAUAUAUUUAAUCACAAAUUAUUAUAUAUGUUAAAUUUAUUAUUGUUUUAAUAAUUUUUAAAAAAUUACAUUAAUAGUUAUUUUUUAUUGAUGGAACGUGUAAAACUAUUUUACACUGAUAAUAAUGUAUAAUUAUUUUAAAUACAUGUAUUUUCACGAUGUCGAAUAUGUACUUUUAAUUUCAUAUUUUUUUCAUUAUAACUCUUUAACUUGUUUUUAAAGAAAGUAUACAUUUUUAAUAAAUUGUUUAAAUAUCAAAAUAGUUUCUAUUUUUUAAAUAUUAAACAAUUUUUAAUCUAAUAUGCUCGCUAGAUUGUGACUUGGAAAAAGAAGAUUUAACCAAAAAGUAUUGUAAGUAUGAAUUAUAUAGUAAUGUUAUAUUUGAAUCAAUAGAUAUCUUUAGGCCAGUAACCCAAUAAGAAUUAGGAGGAUAUAUAACCUCUCAGUCUCAAAUGCAUACGGGCAGAGAGAUUUGAAACAGUGGUGAUAGACGACAUUAGAUGUUGAUGGUGUGUAUAGUGCAGAUCCUAGAAAAGGUUUGUUAUGUGAUGAUGCUUUUGCUUUGUUUUAUGUUCUACACUUCUACAGCCUUAGUGUGGGUUUAAUUUAGUAUAGAUAUAUUCUGCAGUUGGUGAUGCUGUGAUUUUGAAGACACUGUCUUAUCAAGAAGCAUGGGAAAUGGUAAGUUGAUUCUGGAAAGUGUCAAAGCUAGUUGUGACAAUAAAAUUCAGGAGACUAACUUUCAAACUACCUCUUUCGCAGUCUUAUUUUGGUGCCAAUGUCUUGCAUCCACGCACAAUAAUUCCAGUUAUUAGAUAUGGCAUUCCCAUUAUAAUAAGGAAUGUUUUCAACCUCUCUUCUUCUGGAACAAAGAUUUGCCACCCUUCCAUUAUUGGUGAUGAAGAUAAGCAGAUAUUCAAAAAUUAUGUCAAAGGCUUUACAACAAUAGACAACUUGGCACUUGUAAAUGUAGAGGGGUGAGUCAUGAAUUGCAGUCAUUUUGUGUUUGUCUCCUCAAAGUUGUAGUCUCUAAAGUUGUUCUUUUUGCAGAACCGGAAUGGCUGGUGUUCCAGGUACAGCUAGCGCUAUUUUUGGUGCAGUAAAAGAUGUUGGAGCUAAUGUUAUUAUGAUAUCUCAGGUGCAAUCACUAUCUUUUGUUGUUCUUAUGCCUAAUUUUCCAUAGUUAUAUAUACGAAUCUGCUAUGGUAAUGAACUUUGUAGGCUAGUAGUGAGCAUUCUGUGUGCUUUGCUGUGCCUGAAAAAGAAGUAAAAGCUGUUGCUGAGGCGUUGCAGUCUGUAUUUCAUGGCGCUUUGGAUGCUGACCGUCUUUCUCAGGUGUCAAAUCUAGCUCUGAUACAACCACAUGCCAAUUUCAAUUUGAUUGCAAUCAAAUUCCUCUGUUCAUUACUGACGUGAUAUCAUGAUUCAAGAAGACUUAUCAUAUUUGAGGAUUGUUUAAGGUUAUAAAGCUGAAGAUUGAUAUCAUAUAGCUUUUCCUUAUUUCUAACUUUGUUUGCAUCAUUAAUUAGAUUCAGACUAAGCAAUAUAAAUAUUCUAAAUAUAGGCCACUUAACAUGGUAUGGAAAAAGAAAGCAAACGUCAUGAUUUAUUAAUAAUUGAGACUGAAAAACUGUUGGCUGAAGCAUGGACGAUGAUAUAAUUUCUAUAAUUAAGAACCUAGGAUCUACCCUUAUAUUAUUUAAGAGUUCUGAACGUGAAUUAGGGAUCUAUUUCAUUAAUGUUGAAUUAAUUUCUCACAUAUUGCAAUUUGCAAAAGUUUGGUCAUUUCCGUGGGUAUUGGUUAACAGAUUGCUGGAUAAAGGAUAUAUCUAACGAUGUGUUCGGGGCACCAAACAUCCUCCCCCACCCCGGUGCACAUAAUAAUUACAAUAAACAAUGAUCUCUUUGGCUUCCUAGCUAACUCAGCUCGUGUCCUUUUUAGAUUUUACGUGCUUGUAUAUUUUGUCGAAAUAUAAAACCCAUUAAAUUAAAGCUUGUUAUAUUAUUCCGGUCUAAACUAUGUAGCCACCUCUCAGGUGGCAAUCAUUCCAAAUUGUAGUAUUUUGGCAGCUGUCGGCCAGAAAAUGGCAAGUACUCCUGGAGUUAGUGCCUCCCUUUUCGAUGCAUUGGCUAAGGUCAGGAUUCUGGAAACUAUGGUUUAUGUUAGUAUUAUCAUACUUAUUGUUGUGCUGUUAUAAUUUAUUUGUUUUGCGCUUUAUUUCAGUCAUGUAUUUAUUUGAAUGAGAUGCCUUUUGCGUAGAUGAAUUAGAAAUAACUUUUGAUGGAUGUCAAAACUAAUAAAUUUAAUCUUAUACUUUUUAUAGUGAUUAGGGUCAAAUAUAUAAUGGAUGCCAAAACUAAUAAAUUUAAUUUUUUUUACCAAUCUUAUACGAGUUAUUGUAUAAAUAACACAACUUUUAUGCUAAUUAUUAAUUUACACAAAAUCCUCCUUAUUUAGAGUUUAUCUAAAUGUGCGUGCUGUAGGCAUUAUGCAAACUAAUAAAGAUGCUAACUAUUGUUUAAUCUAUCACAAUAAAAGAUAAACAAUAGAAUCCUACACAACCUUUUUUUCAGAUAUCUCUUUCAGUCUUUCCUAUAUAAAAAAUAAAAAAUAGAGCAAUAAUAUGAACUAAUUAAGAUGAAAUUAUGCAAACUACUUAGAAAAUGUACAUCCAUCAAACUUGAAUGUGACAUUGAAUUAACGAAUGCUUUGCCUUCUACUCUCCUCUUUUCGUUUACAAUACGUUGGUAUAUAUAUAUACAUAUUGAUUUGUGUGUAGUCAAAAUCAAAAUUGUUAUUAAAAUUGAAAACAGGCGAGAGGAUUCUAUAAAGGUUGUUCUGAGUACAACAUUACCGUAGUUGUUAAGCGAGAGGAUUCUAUAAAGGCUUUACGGGCUGUUCAUUCCAGAUUUUUUCUCUCAAGAACCACAAUAGCAAUGGCCAUUAUUGGGCCUGGCUUAAUUGGAAGCACACUGCUUGACCAGCUAUGCGAUCAGGUCAGGUGAACUUUUUGUAGAUAAUUUUGCAUCUUUCUGCAUUUUUUUGGGAUAUAAUAUAGUAACCUACAUGUAUUUAUAAUUAACUAGUCGCUAUAUAUUUUGACUUCUAUUUUUGCGCAAAAUUUAAUUAGUCUUUUUCUUCCGCAACUUUUCACGUGCAGGAUAUCAUGCCCAAGAAUGAAAUUUAAUGAGGACAGUCUCCUACAUGUUUGUUUUGUGUUUUUUGUUUUUUAUAAUAAAGUACUUUGAUAUGUUGUUAAGUAAUUUGGUAUUGUAAAACAUGACCUUAUGCUAGCAUAGUCACUUAAAUAGGACACUUGAAAUGAUGAAGUAACGCUAGUUCUCAUACGUAUAUUCAUCCAACAUGACUGGGGUUUCUUGGUCCAUUUAAGAAUGUCAACACCCUUGAAGGUUUCUUGAGGUUCAUCCCGAAUUUUUGUAAUAUGCAGGCUGCAAAUCUGAAAGAAGAAUUUAACAUUGAUUUGCGUGUAAUGGGCAUCAUGGGUUCAAAGUUAAUGCUCCUUGAAGAUGAUACGUAAGUCAAAUUAUUCAGUUUUUAUUAAUUCAACAUCAAAUAAUUGACAUCAUAUUUGAGACCGUAUACAUAAUAAUUGAUCCCAAAGAAAAACAACUCUACCCAUAAGGAUAUGAUUUAACCCAGAAGCUCAUGAGCAUUCAGUUCCAAUACAAUAUAACAGCAUACUACAAUCAUUUAAUCAACAAUUAAGGCUCAAGCUCUGUGAGUAUCUGAGCAUAAACCAACUUUCACAUGAGCCAUAUCAUAUGUCUAAUUCAGUUUGUUUUUGUUCCUGAAGAAGGAAAUUUCGCUGAUGAUAGAGAUGGCUGUCUAUGCUCUAUUGAUCACAUUGUUUUGGUUCUCAUUCAAUUACGAUGAAUUAUAAUUUCUGAUUUCAGGGGCAUAAAUUAGAUAAAUGGAGAGAACUUCGACAAGAAAAAGGAGAAGUGGCUAAUUUAGAAAAAAUUGUUCAACAUGUGCAUGGAAAUCAUUUCAUACCAAACACUGUGUUAGUGGACUGCACAGCCGACUCCGUCAUUGCAAGCAAUUACGAGGACUGGCUGCGCAAAGGAAUACAUGUGAUCACCCCCAAUAAGAAGGCAAAUUCAGGACCACUUUAUGAGGUAAAUUAAAAUAAAACGAUCCACCUUUUAUGGCAUAGACAGCUUUUUUGUUUUGUAAUGUAACUCGUGUGUGUAUUAUCCACUUUUGCGGCUUUCUCACCUUCACUCUGCAUCCAUGGCCAGUAUUUGAGAUUAAGAGCUCUUCAGAGGCAAUCAUACACACAUUACUUCUAUGAAGCUACUGUUGGGGCUGGUCUUCCAAUUAUCAGCACUUUACGUGGCCUUCUUGAGACUGGUGACAGAAUAUUGCAAAUUGAAGGUAUCUUCAGGUUCGUUUUGAAACUAUUUUUCUGUCUCAUUUUGUGAAUUAGACAACCUCACAUCUCAGAAUUUUGAUUUCUGUUUUUACACUCAGUCUUCCUCAUGAAGUUUUUGCUCCCCGAGGAGAAAAGUAAAAUGAAAGAACAUCUCUUCAUGGAUCACGGAUGUCUUUAGGGCUUUAGGUUUUGUUCAUUUGAUGUUAUGCUUACAACCUAAGGUACUGCCUCUAAUUUUGCAGUGGGACUUUGAGUUACAUCUUUAAUAACUUCAAAGAUGGCCGGGUUUUUAGUGAGGUGGUAGCUGAAGCAAGGGAUGCAGGGUAUACCGAGCCCGAUCCAAGGGAUGACUUGUCUGGAAUUGAUGUUGCUAGAAAGGUACAACGUAUAUCUGCAACAUUGUAUUGUAAUGUCUAUAAAGUAUUAAGUGCCUUCUUGUCUUCUUGUGGUUGAUAUCUCAUGAGUUUCGAUAGAGAUGCUUAGAUUUUGAAUUAUGCGUAGGGAUGUAAUUAAAUUGAACCAAAAUUAUCAUGUGGAUGGUUUUUUUAAGUUUGAUUUGUUCAAAUUAAAUUUUGAGGCUCAAAAUUAUGCAUGAGCUACAUUUCAAAUUUGCUUUACGUAUGUAUUAUGUAAAGUUAUCAUGUAUUUGGUUUGAAGCUCAAUUUUGACUAGUUAAAAUUUUGAGAUUCUGAAAACCAUUGAAAUAUUCAAAACACACAAGUUCAAUAAAACAAAAUAAUAUUUUAAACAAUCUCAAAUGUCUUGCUGAUAAUUGGCUUUAAGUAGAUAACUUUUGGUUCAUGACCUUGAACUAAUAUUAUUUUUAUGCAUGAAAGUUUUUUAUGCUUAAUUAACUCAAUCCUCUUUAAUUUGGUUGUGAUUAUUAAGUGAAAUUAAAAUUCUUGUGGUUCAACAGGUGAUAAUUCUUGCAAGGGAAUCAGGUUUGAAGCUAGAGCUUUCUGAUAUUCCCGUUGAAAAUCUUGUGCCAGAACCAUUAAGAGUAGGAAUCAAUUUCUAUUAAUUAUAAAGUUCUGAGUUUUAUUGUGUACUAUUAUUACACUUAGGAGGAAUAUCUUGAUGAUUUCUUGCAGGGUAGUUCAUCAGCUGAAGAGUUUAUGCAACAACUGCCAAAAUUUGAUGAGGAAUUAACAGAGAUAUUAAAAGAUGCAGAGAGUUCUGGAGAAGUGAGUAACUAGACAUUAUUCUGGAAUCCUGAUUAAACUACUAUAGGAAAAAAAAAAUAGCUACAUUAAUUGCUUCAUCCACAUGAUCUAAUCAAAAUUAUUUAAUAAAAGAGUUAUAAACUCCUUUGUCUUUGAUAAAAAGAAAAUAAGGCCAGCUACAUGUUCAAAACUGUUUAGUUUAAAACUUUUAAUGUUUGAAAGAAAUUCAAAGUGGGAUAAUAUAUUAGGUGUGGCAUUUUGAAAAGUCGGGAGCUUAUAUAUAUUUGGUUUAGUCAUCUUUUAUGACAUGAAAAACAUAAUGAUCGACUUCUGUUGAGUUUGGAGAAUAGAGCAAUUCUUGCAUGAACACGCCUAAUUAGAAACUCAAAAUAGCAUUGUAAAUUUAUAAUAACUUAAAAGAAAUUAAAGGCUUUGUUAUUAUCAUUUCUCAUAAGUCAUAAUGGCAUUUUUUCACUGCAUAGUAGUAGUAUUAGUUUAUGUUUAGGUUUUUGAAGAGCAUGUUAUGUUAUGUUUGAAGGUCUUGAGAUACGUGGGAGUGGUGGACGUGAGUAAUGAAAAAGGAGUGGUAGAACUGAGAAGAUACAAGAAGGAUCAUCCCUUUGCACAAUUAUCUGGAUCAGAUAAUAUUAUUGCGUUCACAACAAGAAGGUAUAGAAACCAGCCUCUGAUAGUUCGUGGACCUGGAGCUGGUGCCCAAGUCACAGCUGGUGGAAUAUUCAACGACAUUUUACGACUUGCCACUUAUCUUGGUGCUCCAUCAUAGAUGCAACCAUGUAUUCUCUCCUUUGCUUAUUCUCUUGUAACUUUUAAUUAAAUAAACCACUAUAAUAAAUAAUUAGAAUUUUAAAUAAGCAUUACAUUUAAAUUAAAGUUAGUUUAACAGAUUUUGCACUGUUUUCAAUUUUAAAAUUAUUCAGAAAUAAUAUCUAUUAUUUUUUAUAUGUGGAAAAAAGAAAGAAUAGUAAUAGUAAUAAUAGUUAAAUAUAUUUUUGUCAGUAAUUCACUUUCUUCCUUAUUAGUGUUUUUAUUCUUAUAUAUUUUUUCUGUUUUAGUUUUAACCCGAUUAUCAGGUAACAUAAUUAGGUUGAACCUAGUAAUUUGUUCCCGUAGAUUCUGGAGCAUAGAUUAUCUAUUCAUGGCAUGUGUAACGGAGCACACAGCAUGUCUUCUGUCACUAAUGCACCUAUCUGGUCAGCGUAGUUUAUAAAGGCUCAACCUCAAAAUACCGUAAUAAUAUGCACUGACGUAGUGACGUGUAGACUCUUCAACGGUCAGACUCAGCUACCACCAUCAACACAAAAUUUUGGUGGGAAAAAAUAGUCUUUCUACACAUGCCACAUAUCAAGGCAGACCCAAAGGAAAAGGAGAAAGAUAGGGACAAUAAUAUCUACUCUUUUUAUUUAAGUAAUGAUACUACCAGCUGGUAUAAUUUUUAUUUAUCUUCUUAUUACAUCAAAUUAUUUAUUAUAUUUUUUUUGAAGAUUGAAACCAAAAUAAGAGGUAAACAAACAAUUAAACAGAUGCUUACUAAAGGUACUAUGCCGAUGCUUGCUACGUACAUGAUUAAUUUUGAAUUGGUUCAUGCUACAGCUUUAAUUAGAUUAGAAUUCCCCAUUUGGUUAAUUGCUGCUGAUUUACGCGGCUUUGGUUUGACAAUGAAUUAGAAACAUAAGAACUUAGAAAUGCUAGCUUUGAUUAAAAAAAAAAAUACAUGGGACAAAUUAACCAAUACUACCUGCUAGGUAUAUAAUACAACUAAAUGCAAUAAAUUUUCUUCUAAUUGAAAAAAUGUUGAGAAAUGUCCUUACAUCUAAUGUAGAAGAAACCUUGUGGGGGACAAAAAAGGAAGGGAAAUACAGUUAACCGUUCCAUUUAAAAUUAAAAGCAAAGGCAUGAAUAACUCAUUGAAAAAUAAUAAAAAAGAAUACACGCAAUCCAGACAAAAAAAAUGACAUGAUUACAGUUCCCCAGAGAAUAAAAUAGAAGAUUCUGAAACCAUGGAGGCAAUGAAUGCAACCGUGAACUGGAUAAGUGCAUUGAUGUGUUAAGCUGGAUAAUUGGUGCCUAAUGCUUUUAAACCAGUGAUUAAGUAAAUUUAAAGGGUGUAUGUUACAUGCGAGAUUACUAAGAGCUAUUUCCAAAAGGAGGAAAACUGCAUUCAAUGCAUGCAUGCAUGCAUACAAAUAACAUUUCUAUAAUACUACUCAUCUAAGGGGCCAACCAACGACUAAAAAGUGAAAACAAUCCUCUAGCUUCAACAAAAUCAAUAAAGGACAACGGAUUUUCUACAAAAGGAGAUUGCGAGAACAUAAGAAAAUAACAUUCAAUAAAUAAAUAAAUUUUAUGAUACAAUUCGGUGAUGUUGUUGCAAGAACAAAUAUAUAUGAAACAAUUACAGUUUUCUAACUCUCACUAUUCGAUUCUCUCUCUCUCUGCUUAACAGCUUAACAACUUUCUCAUCUAGUCUCCCAUGCCGAGAAGCAAUUGGAUGAUGUACUUCUUUAUUAUCAUUUUAUAUUCGUUGACAAUGAAUCAAAGGAGUCUACAAAUCCUGAUGGUUUUGCGGGAAUGCUUGCGUUAUGGUGUAGAUAGAAUAAGAACAAUAAAACGGUAAGAGGAGAUUCACAGAAUUAACGUGGUUCAAUUAAUGUAAACUACAUUCAUAGGCAAUAAAGAAAUUUCUAUUAUUUUUCUUAAAUAACACAUAUAUGAAGUAGAGAGUCUAAAAUAACACACACACACAUAUCGUUCAAAUGAUCAACAAACAUAAAGUCUGGGUUAGGUUGUAUCGUAGCCUUUUUUCCUCCUUCAAAAUAUAAGAUCCAAAAUGUAGUAGGGUUGAGUGAUGAUUUGAGUCAACAGCCUUCAUAUAUCAUGUCAUAACCUUCUUGCCUCUGGGAUGUUUUCCAUGUUAAUUAGUACCCUACCGAACCAUGAAAUCAAUAAACCAAUGGAGACAUUUCUUCAGGCACAGUAUUGUCCAAUACUUUUCUACCGGUAAUCAGUUCCAUCAAGACUACUCCAAAUGCUUACACAUCUACUUUGGUCGUCACUCUUCCAGUAGCUGCCAAGAAACAAUAUCACAUUAAUUAAUUACAAGUAAUGAAGGAAUAGACUAAAACAUAAAGUUAAUGCAACCAAUCGCGUUUGAUGCAACAUGAAUCUAGCUCGGCUAAUUAAAACGUACCUAAAACUGUGUAGUUGUACGAAAAUAUUAAACAAGACAAACAAUACUAUACUACAAACGCAGCGGAGUCCAUCUAAAUUUUAUGACGCAUGCUUUAAUUUAAAAAUGCAUGCACAAAUGUAUGCUAGUGACAUCGUGGAAUUUACAAUUAAUGAAGUGUGUGUUUCAACGAGUGUUAAUAAAAUUAAUUUUAAAAUAAUAUGAUUUAUAUUUAAAUAUUUUUUAAUAUAAAAUCAAGUUAAGAAACUCAUAAUAAAAUUAUAUAUGUAAAAAUUUGUCUAAAAUUAAUUAUAAACCUACCAUCAAUUCUCUAACAUGAAAUCAAAUCCAGAGCAACUUUAUAAUUAAAGAUGUGAUAGACGGUUAGGCCACCGGAGAACCCAACAGUAAACAGUAACAGAGAAGAGAAAUGCUACAUUGCCACCCAAACCUAUCACAAAUACCGUUAGAAUUUUUUUAAAUAUUCCUCACCAUAUUUCAUCUUUAGAUAUAAAAGAAAGUAAUUUCUUUUAUCUUUAUUAUAAGAUUUGAAUUGAAAGUAUGAUUUAAUUCUCAUUAAUAAGAUCUCAUUUAAAAUGUUUUAUGCAUUAAUUACUAAUUUUUCAUAAAAAUAUCUUUAAUUAAAAUCAAUUUUAGAAUAAUGUUACAAUAAUAUAAACAUAACCUGUUAGUUUGUUUGUAAGGAUAAUUUACAAAAAAAUAUUAAUUUAAAAAAUUUAAUACUCUUAACUAAGUUACUGAAUUUCCUUAGAUGCAUCUACUUUUUUUCUUUAAUACUUAGGAGAUUAAUGUAGCAAAACUCAUUCAGUAUGAUAUCCAAGAGUUAAUACGUAAGAAGUGUAUUCAUCACCUUACAUACAUCAUUCAUGAGUUAGUGGUUUGUAUACCAAUAUCUAUCCUCUUUCUCCUCUCUAAUUUUCCUUUGGAAAAAAAAAGGACAAUAGUUUCCUGAACAUCGAAGCCAUCCAUCCAUAACUGCCACACCAUAAUGUACAUGAAACGUUCAACCCAGGAUAUAUAAUACAGGAAAAAAUAAAAUUUACCUAGGAAUAAUAAUAAUGAAACAAGAAAACUAAAUGCAAAAAUAACUGACCAUUUCAAGAAGAAAAAUAUCGUAGUUACUAGUUAAUUCAAACAAUAUAUAGGAAUUGAACAUUAACUAUUGUCCAUCAUCUAAUGGUUAUUUUGUCGCUCCUGUUUUUAUAAGCAAAAUAUGAUAUUAUAGUAGUAUCCUAUAGAUAUUUAAUUUGUAGCAACGACAAUAGAGGAAAUAAAUAAAAACUCAAAAAUUAAGAAAAUCUCCCUCCCCCCGGCCCCGGAAACUCAAGCUGAGCCAAAUUAGUCAAGCUCCCUUGGUAUUGAACCACCCAAAUUGUUAUGGCUGAGAUAAAGUAUAAAAUUUUUAAGGGUUUUGUAUUAAUUAUAAGAAAUCAACCGGAUCUUAAAAUUUAUGAUUCUUAAAAAUAAUAAAUAAACUAAUAAGAUAUAUCUUUCUUUAUAAUGAUACUUCUCUUUGAUGUAUUUUGAUUUCUUAUAAGAAUAGAGAAAUAAAAAAAGGACUUUGUUUUACAUUAACGGAUAUUAACCCCUUUUGUAAUCACUACUCUCAUCUUAACUUAAUUACAAUCUAAUCCAUAAUUAUUAAUUAUUUAUUUAUUAGUCCUUACUUAAAUCACAUGUCUCACACCUUUCUUGAUAAAAGACUUAAGUUCAAUUCUACUUACAUAAAUAAUGUGUUUGUUUUUACCUUAAAGAUAAUUAAUUUUAACUAAAUUAAUUUAACAAAAGUACAUAUCAGAUAUAGAAUUUAAAUUUGAUUCUCACAAAAUAUUUUCUUAAAAAGUAAUAAGGAAAAACUUUAAAUUUCACUUAAGUUUUAAAUUAAAAAUUAGUUUUAUAAUAGGUAGAAAGAUAACAAAACUUAUGAAAAUUAGUUCUACCAGUUUUUAAAAGUGAAUUGUGAACCCCAACUAUCUUAAAAAGAAAAAAGAAACUAAUCUUUAAAAAUACUGACAUUCAUCAACUUCUUCCAAUAUAUAUGUUACGUAUCGGAUGCACGUGCAAUCGUAGUCCAAUUAUUAAUAUUUUGCUAAAGUAGCCUUCAAUUAGUUUGAUAAGGUAUUUAACUUAUAGUGUUCACGUUCUUGUUAACCCAGAUACACUUUAUCUCCAAAAACUGGCGACAAUUUAAUUCCAGUAAUUAAUGAGUAUUCUCUUUCAUGUAAUCACCAACUGCCAGUUAUUUUCAGCUAACGGACUUGCUUUAAUUUUGACGACAGCUCAAAAUCACAAAUUUGUAUUAUAUAUGGAAUAAUUUUAAAUUCUCUUACGUUAUUUUUUAAAUCUUUUUCUUAAAUGUGUGCAUGUUUGUUUCAAUGUUACAGUCUCCCUUCCAUCAUCACAAUUUUUUUUUUUUUUGAAAAUGAUAGGCUUUAUAUCCCCCUCAUAUAGAUUUAGAUUAUGAGGGAUUGGGUCUUGCAUGGGUUCAAUUUUAUGUCCCCCCACACGGCUUCAAUAUGGUGUCAACAUAGUUGCAAUAAAACCAUCUAAUUUGAUGCUCCUAUAGUCUCUCUCUUCUAAUAAAAAUGUUACAACCUUCACUCAAUGAAUUUUCGUGCUUUCUAUGCACAAAACGUGAGGGAAAAAAUCGAAAUUUUUUUGUUGAACGGAAAACUAACGCUCUAAGAAAUUGUCUAAACACUUACUCAAUUAAGAAACCCACAAAAAAAAAUAAUUGCAUAAAGAUUUUAUACAUUAAAUCUAACAAAUUGUGUAUAAAAUAGUAAAUGAAAAACCUAUAGCUAUUAAGUUAAAUAGCAUAAUGGGUAUCCCUUAACAUUUUUCUUUAUGUUAACUUGUGUCAGUCAUGUAUGCACAACAUUUUUGCGCGUAAGUCAUAACUAUCACUAUAGAAUAGAGAAGACAUAGUCAAAUAAGACAAACUGAGCUUCCACCACCGUUUCCGUGGUCAGCAGUGUUAAAAAAAUUGGUUGGGUUAUUGAUUCUAUCAAGAUAGUAAGGUAGUGGUUCAACCAAUAGAUUAAUAUUGGUCCCGUUUGAUUAGUAUAUAUUAAAAAUUUAAAAUUAUACAUAUAUAUAUAUAUAUAUAUAUAUAUAUUUUAUAUAUAAAUACAUAACUAAUAUUAUAAUAUUAUUUGAUUAAGAUUCAUAUUUCAAAAAUUUAAAAUAAUUAUUGACAAUAAUGAGAUAUAAAAUCGGUGUCUAAAGGUAAUCAAUUUGUAUUUGUAUAUUUCUAAAAAUUGAGAGAGUUUGGAGGAUUUUGACAAGGGUGGUGGUGAGUAUGGAGGCUGGCAUGAUGUGUGUAGAAUUAGAUUGUGAAAUGAGGGGCAUGGCAUGCGUAAUGAUGGAGCCCACCGCAUGUGCUUUGUCACCAAACUCACCAGCUUAAAAUACCGUAAUAUGCGCAAACGUGUAGGCUCCUCAACUGAAAUUAAGGUUAGCUGCCACCAUCAACACCAAAUUUUGGUGGCUCUGCUCUGCACCUCCAAAUUUCUUUUAUUUAUUUUCCAUUCACCUCAAUCACUCUAUUAUGCCACAGAAGCCGGACCAAAAUAACUUUGAAUUAUUCAUUGGACGUUGUUGUUGAUUUACGCGGCAUUGGUCAAAAAGCAUGGGACAAAACAACCAGUUGCAAUAAAUUUUCUUAUUCAAUAAAUGUUGAAAAAUAUCAUACAAUUAACAUUUCUAUAAUACUUCUCAUCCAAGAACCCAACCAUCAACUAAAACCAAUCCGUUAGCUUUGAAAAAACUAGAUAAAGGACAUCAGACUUGUACAAAUAGAGAUCGCAAGAACAUAAAAGAAUCAUCAUUUAAAAAAUUAAAUAAAAAUUGUGAUACAAUUAGGUGAUGUUGCGAGAUCAAAACAGCUUACUUAAUAACAACAUUCUCAUCUGGUCCUUCCAACUGAGAAGACAUUGGAUGUUGUCCUGUUUACAAUUAUAAUUUUCGUCAGCGGCAAUCCAUUGAAUCAAAGGAGUCUGCAAAUCCUGAAGGUUUAGCGGGAAUACUUGAUUGAGUUUGUGAGAUGGACAUGUCAAACAUUGUGGAAGUGCCUUCAUUGGCUUGCCAUCUUCGCAGAGCUUGAGGAAGGCUCAUGUGAAGGUCAAUGCCAUAACCUUCUUCUUCUUCAUGGGUGGUGGGCUUCCAUUGCUCUACCAGAGGACCCAAGACAUUCACAGCAUGCCCCAUAUCAGGCCUUUGGUAUGGUUCACGAGCAGUGCAAUGGCCUGCUAGCUCAGCCACUUUAUAUAUACUCUCCAUGGUUUCCUCAUCGGGAUCGAGAGUUUGAUCAAUUGCCUUUGGGAUGUUCUCUUUGUUAAUCAGUACCCUACGGAACCAGGAAACCAAGUGAGACCUUUCAUCAGGCACAGUAUCGUCCAAUGCCCUUCUACCCGUAAUCAGUUCCAUCAAAACUACUCCAAAUGCGUACACAUCUACUUUGGUCGUCACUCUUCCCGUAGCUGCCAAGAAACAAUAUCACAUUAAUUAAUUACAAGUAAAGGAAUUGGCUAGCAUAAACUUAACGCAACUAAUUGUGUUUAAUGCAACAAAAGCUAGCUCUAGCUAACUGUAAUUUUACGAUUCUUCGUACUACAGAUGCAGUGGAGACGAAGAAAAUAAUUGGACAUGCUUUUAAAAAUGAACAAAUGUUUGUUAGUGAAAAUGUGGAAUUAUCAUAUGACUAUUAACGACAUGUCUGGGCAUCAGGGAACCCUACAGUAAACUGAACAGUACCAACAGAGAAGAGAGCAGCUACGGACGGUGCUACCCAAACCUAUGACAAAAUACAGUAAGAAUAACUCUAAAUAUUCUUAACCAAUCCUUCUAAUUGCUAAAUAAAAUACUUUUGAUCUUCCCAUGACACAAAAUGCAUCAACUUUUAUGUUUAAUACUUUAUUAAGUAUCCGGAGGAGAACGUAGCAAAACGCCUUCAGUAAUCCAAGAUUUAAUCUAAUCAGAGUAUUCAUCACAUAAAAAGAUGUAAUUGGGAGCCAGCCACUUAAUUGAAGCCAUCUAUCUAUAAAUGGCACAACAUAUAAUGUGCCCUGAAACCGUUCAUCCAGGAUAUCCAUAUGAAAACAUAAAACUUAGCUAGAAAACAAAUCAUAAAACAAGAAAACAAAAAAUGCAAAUAACUGACCAUUAUGAGGAGAAAAACAUCAGUUGUUAUUAGUUCAAAAAAUAUAAUGAUUUGAAGUAGUAACCUAUAGACAGUUAUAACCAGAAAAGGAAAUAAAUAAGAACUUAAAAAAAAAAAAAAUCAAUACAAGCUUAUUAUAUUCAAAGGCUUUCCAUAUAUACCUGCAUAUUCAGGUGCAAGAUAUCCAAAUGUUCCAGCCAAGCGUGUCUCAACAGAAUACUUCCCAUCUGGCGCAUUUUUAACCAAACCAAAAUCUGCAACCUUGGCUCUCAUGUCAUCACCCAACAAUAUGUUUGAGGGCUUUAAGUCCCUGUGAAUGAAGCUUUGCUGAGCCAAGCUGUGCAAGUAUUCCACUCCCCGAGCUACAUCCAAAGCUAUUGCUACUCUUUGUUUCCAAGUCAAAGGAGCACAGCCAUUUUCACCCCAAUCAAACAGGUGUUGCGUUAAUGUCCCUUGAGGCAUAUACUCGUACACCAAGAGCCUUUCGUUGCCGUUAAUGCAAUACCCUAAAAGGGCCACCAAAUGCCUGUGCCGAACUUUACUAAGAACUGCAAUCUCUGCUUGGAACUCAUUCAAUCCCUUACUCCCUGUUGCAACAGAUUCCAUUCUCUUUACAGCAAUUUGAGUUCCAUCAUGCAAUUCCCCUUUAUAAACAACCCCAAACCCUCCCCUACCCAAAAUGUUCUUCUCACUGAAAUUAUCCGUUACUUGCCGAAGAACCUGGAUUGAAAUAGUAGCAUUCCCACCCUCAAAAACAUGAACGUCACUACGCUCACUGCCCUGGCUUUGCAACUCACUGGGAACACCACCAUAUCCAUUGGAAUUGGUAACGCUCAUCAUAUCAAUCUUAACCUCUCCUUUCCCAUUUUCCGGAUUAUUAACCCUUCCAAACUUCCCAUGCCGGUUUUUAGCAUGACACUUGCAAAACACAAACACCACGACGGCAACAAAAAACACAGCAAUUAGAACAAUACCUGCGAUCCAAGCAGGCGAAAGUGAAGAUCCACCUGGCCCUGUGCUCGGGCUUCCACUCGGUGCAUCACCGGAACCCUUCGACGGAGUAGUUCCACUGCCACCACCACCACCAUCAGAACGCCCAAGUAAAUCAUUACCUGCAGUAGUGAACUUCACCUUGGUAGGGAACUUGGGAACAUCACCAGAUAAGUUGUUAUUAGACACAUUAAGAACCUCAAGCUGAGCCAGAUUAGUCAAGCUCCCUGGUAUUGAACCACCCAAAUUGUUAUCAUUGAGAAACAAGUUCCUCAAAUCAGUUAAAUUAGCAAACGCAGGUGAAAUGGUUCCCGUCAAAUUCUGCUUUGCCAAAUUCACCGUAAUAAUCUUCCCCCCUGCACACACAACAAAACUCCAAUCAUCACAAGGAUCGUUCCCAGUCCAGGAACGCGCCAACUGAAGGGGAUACCCGAAACCCGCAGCAAUAUCAAGCAAAGUGGAGAUACGAGAAUCGCAGGGUCCAACAUCUUUCAGACAAAAACUAUUGAUCCCAUCGAGAGUGAACUUCACACCUUUCUCAAACGAAGGAACAGGACCCUGAAGGGCAUUGUUGUCCAGAGAAACGUUCUGCAAGCUAGAAAGGGACAUGAGAGAAGGUGGAACCACACCGGUUAACUGGUUGUCUCUCAGCUGCAGGUCAAACAAAGUGGUGCAAUUUGACAAAUCCGGAAUGGGACCCGUGAACUGGUUCUUCUGAAGCCACACCUGAGACAAGUGGGUCAUGGAAGCAAGCACCUCAAUGGAACCCGAAAAUCCGAAGCCGUUCUGAUUGUUGAGCCACAGAUUCUGAAUCUCAGAUCCCCCAAAGGACUUGGGUAAACCCCCAGUGAGGUUGUUGUAAGAGAGACGAAGCUCCUGCAAACUCACAAACUUGUCGAAUACAUCAGGCAAGGUACCGAUGAGGUUUGCGUUUCCGAGGUCGAGUUUCACGAGGUUGUUGCUAUCCGUCAACUCGGUGGGAAUCGUCCAUGGGGCAAGGUUGACGCUAUCGGCCAUGCUGAGGGUUUGCAAACUGGUGAGCCCCUGGAAGCAACCAUCGGGGAUGGAGGUGAAGUUAUUGCCGUCAAGGAAAACGCUUUCGAGCAUGGAGAGGUUGGCGAGUGAAGGCAAUGCGCCGGAGAGCUUGUUGUUC
rnacentral:lncRNA from 1 species